ACGAAAACGACGUAGACGUGGUAAUAGAUCCGCAAAUAGAUUAGAACCACCUUAAGAUUUGAACACGUGUCCAUUGAUAUUUAUUAUUCUCUCUCCUCAAAUCACGCUAUAAAUCAGACUUCAAGGCACUCUUCAUUCAUUCAAGCUUGUUUGUUUGUUUUGUGUAAAAAAUCAUCUUUUGUUGUUUGUUGUCUAGUUUUUAUUAGAACUGAAAAUGUCUUGCUGUGGUGGUAACUGUGGAUGUGGAAGCAGCUGCAAAUGCGGCAGUGGCUGUGGAGGGUGAGAUUUUCAUUCAUACCUUUUUUUUUUGGGGGAAAAAAGGGAUUUGUUUUGUGUGUGAUCUCACUUGAGCCUCUGUUUUGGGUACCCUUCUUUUUGAAUUGCAUGAAAAAAUGGUGUUUGAUUAUGCUGGGAAAAUUUUGAUCACAUUAUUUCUUGUUGAAGGUGUUUUCGAUUUUUUGGGGCAAAAUUUUUCAUGGUCUUUUGAUUGAUUUUUGAGGUACCCUUUUAGUUGAAUUUCAACAACAAAUUGAGUUUUGAUUGAUUUUUUGGGUACCCUUUUAGUAUUUUUUGUGUGUGUCUAGGAUACCCUAUUAGUUUAAUUUAACGAGAAAAACAAUCUGAUUUUGAUUGAUUACUAAGGGUACCCCUGUUGUUGAAUUUUAAGAGAAAGUGAUGUUUUUGUCACCAUACAUCACUUUCUGCUAGUGAUAUUCUAAUAGCUUUUGAGACUUUGUUCAAUUUCACAAAGAUGCUAUGUAUCUAUCUUUCAUUUACUUUUAUGUAUCUAGUUGUACAAAGAUUGCUAUGUUUCUAUUCUGUAUGGCUUUAACUAAAAGAAAUAAUUUUUAAAUUAACUAAGAUAUUAAUUAAAAAUAUAUUUUUGGGAAUCUUAAAAUCAUAAACAUGAAACACCUGAUUAUGUCGUGUCAUUAUACUUAAAUAUUUUAUUUUGUAUAUGAUGCAGCUGCAAGAUGUACCCAGACAUGAGCUACACAGAGCAAACAACAAGUGAGACUCUUGUUAUGGGAGUUGCAUCUGGUAAGACUCAAUUUGAAGGUGCUGAAAUGGGUUUUGGAGCUGAGAAUGAUGGCUGCAAGUGUGGAUCAAACUGCACCUGCAACCCUUGCACCUGCAAAUGAAGUGGAUAAUGAAAUCUUCAAGCAAAGAUGGUCCUUAAUUAUCUCAUUAGUGGCAGGAUUAAUAAUAACAACAAUAUAGCUUAUGGUUAUUAUAUAUUGAGUUAUGUGUUAUGUGUACUUCUGGUGUUUGGUUUAAAAUCUAAACACCCUUUUGGAGUAUUAGAAUAAAGUUGCAAUGUUCUGUUUACCCUUUGAGCGAAUUCUAUUGUCUUGGAUUUGUGAUGAUGGGUGUAUUUUAGUUUUAAUCAUGGUUUCAUUGUUUGUUUAUGUUUUUGUUGCUUUUGUAUAAAGUUCGGCUAAUCUGAACCAUCAAUAUCUGCUUAUUAAUGAAAUAAAGGGAAAUGACAAUUCAAGUAAGGAAACAUUGAGUUGUAAAACACAAUAUGCACUUGUGUCAAACGACACUCAAAGAGUUUGAUUUAUGAAAUAAGUACUAGUGGUAAAAACUGUCCCACCAAGUUGUUUGCAUAGCAGAAAUAUAUUUCUUUGCUCUUGGGGGAACUCGUGAUUUGUACUUGUUUUUUCUUCCCUCUAAGAGUCUUGACCUUCCAAGCACUUUCUAUUGUUGCCACUUAGCCAGUUCUACUCUUGUACCAUUUUUAUAUUGUCUUCAACAAGGUAGCUUUUGUCUAUUAGAGUAGAAUAAUUCUACCUUGUCUAUUAGAGUAGAAUAAUUGGUAAUCAUUAUAUGGGCUAUGUUUCCUCUGAUUUUAGGUCUCAACCUCCACUCAAACUAGUUUGUCUUCCAUUCAUUAAUGGGUGCAUACUAAGUAUGUGGACAAAACUUAGCCAAUUCCACAAACUUAACAACAUAUACUCUGCAAUAGACAUGUCUCUUUGUCGUAAGUACACAGCUUCUUUUGUCUUUUGACAAACUUUGGAUAGCUCUUGUUCCAAGGGUUCUUGAGUCUGAAGAUAAUUCUUUGAACUCCUCCACCAAUAUUAUGUCUCACCCUUCAAUAGAAGGGCAAUUAAUGUCACUUUAUGUUCUUCAGUAUAAGGCACUAUUCAAAUGCCUUUUUACUCUCAUUCAGCCAAACUUAGGUUUAAUAUUUGGUGAAAUGAUACUUAGAAUAUACAAGAAAAGAAAGAUUAUCUCAUUUCCCAACCUUUAGCCUAGAGUGUUAGUGAAUGAAUCUGACUCUAAUACCAAAAUGUAGCACCUAAUAUCAAUUAUCUAGAACUUGGCAAUUUGAUUCAUACUCUUUAAGAAUGACAUAGGCAAAUAAUAAUGAAUAAUAAAUUAGAAUUACCAAACUAAAUUGAAAACUACAUUCAUAAUUAUAGUUUAUAACUUGUUUAACAAAUUCCGUAAAAUAUUACACUUGGAAAUGAAUUAUAAGUGUUUGAUUACAUCAUAAAAUAAAACAUCACAUUCAAAUUCCAACAAAAAUGGAACUGAUCAAUUGAUGCUAAACUUGUAUCCCAUGUUGUUCCUAAUACUAAGAAAUAAAAGAAUGAGUGAAAUAUAAAAUUUUAGUGAGCUCUAAAAAUAAAGGGAAAAGAACUUUGAAAAUAUUUCUUUCAUAAAUAUGCGUAAAAACAUGAAAUUCUGAUGCACUUUCAGCUAAAGCUCUCAACUUCAAUUUCUUUUUAUAAACUUAACUAAAAUAAUUCUUUUAUAAUGAUUCUGGAAAAAAAAAUUAUGCAUGACCUCUAAAAUCUUUUCUUUGAAAACAAAGAAAAAUCGUCCAAUUAUCUCAACGUGGGCCACCAAGAUAAUUGAGCCAUGUAUGAUCCGCUUAAUGAGAAUGUACUUAACUUGAGAAGUUUUAUAUGCAAUGUAUUUAUCAUGUCAUGUAUGCAAUGCAUCCUUCAUUCACAACAAGUAUAACGUCUUAGCAUUAUAUUAUACCAUUGAUAAUUAAUACAAAAUUCCCUAAUUUGAAAUUGGAAGCAGAGGCAACUUAGCCAGAGGUAGAACUCCAAACCAAAGGCAACACAUUGUGGAGUAAACAAAUCAGAGGAAACAUGACUAGAGGCAAGCUCUGACUAGAGGCAACAUGGUUAAAGGAUACAUGGACUAGAGACAACGUGGUUAGAGGAUGCAUGUCCAUAGGAAGAAUCAAAGGAUACACGUCCAAUGGAAGAAUAAGAGAAUAUGUGUCUCAAGGAGGAAUCAGAGGAUUCCCUUCCCGUGGAAGAACCAGCGGAUACACAUUCAGAGGAUACGCACCCAAGGGAAAAAUCUAAGGAUAUGUGUCCAGUGGAAGAAUCAGAGGAUCUGUGUCUCGAGGAGGAAUCAAAGGAUACGCGUCCCGUGGAAGAAUUAUAGGCAAAAAGAGAUACAAUUGUCAAAGGCAAAACAUUUAGAAUUUUUUUAUUGACAAAUCAGAGACAUAAAGAUAGAGAAAUCAUCAGAGGCAACGUAAGAUAAAUUUAUCGGGGGGUAAAAAUAAGGAAAUUGUACCGUAAGCAAAUGUCAGAGUUAUAAAAUAACACCCUGAAGCAAAGUACAGAGGUAAGGGAAAAAAACGUCCAAGGUGAGUGCAUUUACAAUAGUGGGAUUUGCACUUCAAAUUAUUGUUCCUUUCCCAAAUUUUGCAAUUUUCUAAUUUACUAACACAACAAUCAAGAAACAAGCAACCAAACGACAUGCAUGGCAGAUUUAAAAUCAUUUGGGUGCAGAUUCAUAACACCUAUAUGAUAAAGAUUCCAUUUUUCUCACACAUCUAAGUUCUUCUAACCCGUAAAAUCUCCAAAAUAGUUUCUGACAUCUAAGUAAAUGAUUUUAGUAAGAGGACUGUUACUAAAAAUUGUUCAUACUAUUAUUUUCUAUUAAGAAUUGUUCAUACUAUUAUUUUCUAUUUUACCUUUUAUCCUAAUUUAAUCUUAUUAAAAACACAACAUUAACAAUUACUAAAAGUAUAAAAAAUUUAAUUAAUACUUAAAUCAUAUAAAUAUUUUUAAAACAAUGAGAGGACUGUUACACGAUUAAUAACUAAAAAUGAAAUAUUAUAUAAAAUCUAUUAUACUAAUUAUAUAAAUAAAGUUUCUUUUAAAGUGUCUGAAAAAAAAAUUAUAAUUGUUUUUAAUAAUUUUACUGAAAUACUAUUAUAAAUCUUAAAAAAUAUCAGAAUAAAGUUUAUUUUUUUGACGUGUACUUUACCAUUAAGUUUUGGAAGGUGCACGUCGUGGUUGGAGUGAUUGAAACAUUGCCCAACAAACUCGUACCUAGAUUGUGAGACAACAUGACGAUGACAACCGGUGGAGUAUCCCUCCUUCAAGGAUUAACGUGGACAACUCCUUCCCCCAACCAACAGAAGGUGCACGUGGGGUUAAAAUUACAAAAAUAACCUUACGAAGGCAAAAUUAAACAAGUAUUUUGUUAUAAAUAUAUUAUUACAAUAUCAUCGAAUAAAUUUAAACAAAAUCUAUAACAAUAUUUUUGAAUUUUGUGCAUAACAAUUGUAUUACAUACAUACACAUAAAGUAAGAAUAUAUUAAUAUUGAUUUUUUAUUAAAAAAAUAUUAUAAUGAAAAUAUUAAAAACAAUUCAAAUUAAAACAAGAUAAAACAAUUAUUUUGUAAAGAUAAAAAAAAGUUAACUAAAUUUAUUAAAAUUAAUUUUUAUUAAUGUAUUCAACAAAUAUUAUAAGUAUAUUUUUUAUAAAUCUUUUAUAUUACAAAAAUAUAUUAACUUAAAUUAUUAGUUUAUGAUAGAAACAAAUCCGUAUAAUGCAUGAGCAUUAUCCUCCUUAGUCUUAAAUAUAUUAUACAUACAACGUGAGAACAAUACACUAUAUAUUAUAAGAAUUGUAAUAUACACUAGAAUACCAUUUAUAUAUAUCGUUAAUUAUUUUUCCUUGGCAAAAUUUUGAGGGACACAUCCGUAAAAAGAUUAUGAAAAACAAUAAAGAAUUAUAAAAAUAAUACUUUUCUGCACUGUCCAUAUUGCAAACACACUUCUACAAGCAACUUUAAAAUCACAAAUAUGAACUUCUUUUUUGUAUGGAUAAAACGGCUUUCCUCUACUAAUUAAUCUCACAUACCAAUUACACACCUUUUUCUUUUCUCUCUCACUCUCAUUUCCCCGCCAUCUUCAUUCUCUUUCAUCAUUUUUCAUUUCUUUUUCUUUAUAUCCCUCCUCAUUUUUAACCAUUUCUUUUCUAUAUAGCCUUUUAAAACAAACUUUUAUUUUUUUUCACCAUUUCAAAGUUGCCUCCUUUUUCCCACAUCAACAAUCAUAAGCUUGCUUUUGAUAUACUUUUGUUAAAAUAUACCAUUUUUAUAACCAUUAUUUCUACAAUCAUUUUAAAGUUGCCUCCUUAUAUUUCAGCCACCAUUUUGUAAGAGAGUUUGUAUUUUUUUUCCUACCAUUUCCAUUAUGUCAUGCUACUUGAUAAAGCUCUCAUUUAAAAAAUUAUUAUUUUAAUGAGAGAUUCCUCUUAAAAAAUGUUCCUGCUCUAGAUAUCAAGACCGUCAUCUUAAACUUGAUGUAAUCUAUGACUCAUUCCAUUUUUAGUUUUCAAGGUUUAAAUUUUUUUUCUUAUUUUUUUUGUUUGUUAUCUAAUGUAUUUCUUUUUCGCUUAUUUAUUUGUUAUUUUUUAAGUUUUCAUAAGAAUAAGAGAAAUGGCUUGAAGAUUGAAAGAAUAGAGAGCUAGUAGAAUAAAAGUUAUUUUAUGGGAAAAAUUGCAGGGAAAGAUAUGUAAUGUAAAAUGUUGAAUAUAAGUAAGAAAUAUAAGACAUUAACCUGACAUUUCCUUUUAAUUGAUGCAUAAAGAAAAUGGGGAAAACAAGUAUUUGUUACCAAUACAUAAAAAGUAUGGAGCAAAUGUUUGUUUUUGAUAAGAUAUUAGAAAACACAACAAAUAUUUAUUGGUGACAUAUAUAUAACAUCACAUGAUAAAUAUUUAGCAUUGAUAUAUAAAAAUAUGAACAAAUAUUUAUUACUGAAAAAUAUUAAAAACAUAUGAUAAAAAUGUAUAACCGUCGCAUAAAAACCCACGAGACAAACAUUUGUUACUAAUAAAUAUAAAAAAAGUAUAGAAUAAAUAUUUUUUACUAAUACAUAUAAUAAAACAUAGGUUAAAUAUUUAUCAUUGAUAAAUAUAAAAAAUUGCACAAAAAAUAUUUAUUACUAACACAUACAAAAACACAAGAUAAAUAUUUAUCAUCGAUAAAUAUUAAAAAAUAUAGGAUAGAUUAUUAUCACUAAUGCAAAAACAACACGGAGAAAAUAUUUAUGAGUGUUAAAUAUAAAAGAUCACGUGACAAAUGUUUGCCACUUAUACAUAAAAAACACAAAAAAAAUAUUUGUAAUUAAUUAAUAUAAAAAAGUAGAAUAAAAAUUUACAAUUAAUGUAUAAAAAAUCACGAGACAAAUAUUUUUCGGUGAUAAAAUAAAAAAUUACGCGAUCAAAAUUUAGCAUUGGUACAUAAAAAAAACACAAGAUAAUUAAUUAUUAGUGAUAAAUAUAAAAAAUAAUGAGACAAAUAUUUAUCACUGAUACAUAAAAACACAUGAGACUAAUAUAUGUCAUUGAUAAAUAUAAGAAAAUGUAAUAAAUGCAUAAUAAAACACAAUACAAAUAUUUAUCAGUGAUAAAUAUAAAAAAUCAAAGGAAAAAUAUUUGUUGUUGAUAUAUAAAAAAACAUGAACAAACAUUUUUUAUUAAUAAAUAUAAAAAAUACUGGAUAAAAAUUUAUAAAUGAUGCAAAAAAGUCAUGGGACAAAUAUUUACCAGUGAUAAAUAUAAAAAAUCAUGAAAUAAAUAUUUUUCACUAAUUAAUAUAUAACAAUAUACGAGACAAAUAUUAUCAGUGAUUAUUAUAAAAAAAUUAAGGAUAAAUAUUUACUAUUGAUACAUAAAAAAAUAUGGGUAAAAUGUUUAUCAAUGACAAAUAUAAAAUAAUUACAAGACAAAUAUUUACUGCAUAAAAAAUAUAAAACAAAUAUUUGGUAUUGAUAAAUAUUAAAAAAAUAUGAGACAAAUAUUUUUAUUGAUAAAUAAUAAAAACGAGAUAAAUCAUUGUUAUUAAUAAAUAUUAGAAAGAAAAAAAAUUAUUUUCAACUGAUACAUGAAGAAAAAGAAAAGAACAAAAUUUGUCAUUACUAAAUAUAUGAGAUUAUAUAAAUAUUAAUUACAAUAUUUAUUGUACUAUUGAUCAAAUAUAUUUUACUUAAAAAUGUACAAAAAUAAAAUACUAUAAACUUAUUAUCAAUUUCAGUUCUAUUUGUUCAUUAUUAAUUAUAAUAAAUUAAAUUCAUUAUCUAUGGUAUAAGUAAGAGAUACAUUUUUUCGUUGGUUUUCUUUAAUUAUAACUUCAAAUAAAAUUAUAGAAACGACACAGUACUUGUGCGGAAUCACAAAUAUCUUUCUAGUUAUGUUUAAAAUCGUGGUACAAAUAAUUUAAAAUUAAAUAAUAAACAAUUUUUAAUCUUCAUAAAAUAUUGAAAUAUCAUUUUUAGUCAAUGUAACAAAAUCAAUUUUUUAGUUUUUAAAAAAUAUUUUACAAGUUAUUGUAUAUUUUAGUCGUGUGACAUCAUAACCCCAAAAUAACAUUUAUAAUAAUUAAUAUUAGAUCUUUUGAACAAAUUUCACAAGGGAUAUAGAAAUUCUAUUUCCAAAAAAAUAAAAACUUUUAUAAUUAAUUUAGCAUAUUAAGUUUAUCAAAAAAUCAAAAGGAACGCUUCUUUUUUCCUCUAGGACAAUCUCCGGAGACUUGUUUAACUAGAAAUUUUUAAUUUAAUGAAAAAGCUUACUAGUAUUUAUAAAGUUUUGAUGCAAAAAGUCAUUUAUAAUUAAAUAAGUAAAAGUAAAAUACAAAUUACAUAUUUUAUUCUUGAUAUCACUUAUCAAAGUGAGGUUUCUCCAUAAAUUGAACUUCAAGAUUAACAUGUAAUAACUGUAAUUUCGUAAACGCAAGAUCAAUCCAUUCAAACACAAACAACGAAUGAGGUGAAUUUCGAAAUCAUAUUGAUAGUAUAAUAUAAGUAAGAAGAACACGCAAUUAAUCAUAAAUAAACUAUAUCAUUACACAAACAUUCUUUAAGAAAAACGAAUAUCAAAUCAAUACAUUUCACUAUAAUAUCAAAUCAUCUAAGAGAAAUUAUUAUUGCACACAAUACAUAUUAAUAACAACAAAACAAUCAUAAGAAAAUGUAAUGUUAUACAUGGACUUAUACUCUACUUCACAAUCAUUCUAACUCUCAAGUACUUAGUUAGGAGUUUUGAUACUAUGCCACCACAUGAGUGGACGUACAAUUCAAAUUGCUCAUAUCCUUGUAGAUCCCCGAACUCAACCUCCGAGACAUAUAUGUGAUAGUUGACGUAUGUGUGUUGCAUGGUAGCUCCUAAUUUUACAUUAAGGCGUAUGUGUGUUGCAUGGUAGCUCCUAAUUUUACAUUAAGGCUCAACGGUAGACGACCACAACCAGACUCAUUCAAUUGUACUUUCUUUAAAUCACUAGGCUUAUCAGGUUUUAUAUAUAUAAUGGCAAACUAAUCUCCAUUUCAAAAUUUACAUCAACUUCAAAUAAUCCAAACAUCUAUUUUCUCUCAUUGUUAAUCUAGACUACUCCAUUAAGAACAUCAUUUUAGCACAAGUUAGAAUCAUCAAUGUUUCAUCAAUUAUGGGUACAACAAUAUUCUCAUUACAAAUUUAUAACAUCAUUAUCAUUAAUCAUACAUCAUCAGGAUUAUCAUAUAAAAUCAUCACAAAUUUAUAACACCACUAUCGUCAAUCAAACAUCAUCAUUAUCAUUGACAUCACAUAAAUUCGUCGUCUAAUCAAACAUAUGCAGAUAAUUUCAUUAUACAUCCAACAUCAUAAUAAUAUUAAAUACCACAUAAUUAUCAAAAAUUAAAUCAAUCAACAUCUUAUAAACAUUAUAUUUUACAAUUUUAAUCUCACAAUCCUUGUAUUUUCAUAUUAAUUAAUUUAUUACAGCGCUACAGAUGAAUAGUCGGAAAAUACAGUUAAAAUUUUUUCAUUCAUUAUCGACGCUUUCGCACGCGGUUACAAGUUGAAAAUAUUUAUUUUUUUCGAUGUUGUCUUUAAGUCACACGAAUACAUAGUUUAUGAUAAACGGUGAAAUAAAUUUCAUUAACUUAUACUAAAUCAAAAUGUAAUACAUGAAUAAUAUAGUAAUAUAGUAACCAUUGUAGUCUUAACGAUCUGAUUGUAAUGUGUUUCUUAUUUAAUUACUGGAGAUCGACUCUUUAUUAUUAUUAUUAUUAUUAAUAAUAAUAAUAGAUUUGAAUAUUUCAUAUACACGUUCAAGUAGUAGUUUUUUUGUUUAUUUUAUAUUUAAUAUUACUAUUUCUAUUUACAUCUUAGUAAAACAAAAUUAAUAAUUAUUUAAUUUUAUUUUUUUAAUACUAUUACAAACAUUAUUUAAUUUUCAAAUCAUUACUAAUAUAUUAUAAUUAGAGUCAUUAAAAUAAUUCUCAUUAUUAAACUUUUAUAUUCAAAAUCAUCAUUAUAAUUAUACUUAAUUUUCAAAAUAUUCAUAUUAAAAUAGUUAUAAUUUUAAAGAAUAGUUAAAAUUAUAAAAUAAAUAUAAGAUCAACAUUUUGUAUUAAUUAUUAAAUUAUAAUAUAUAUAUAUAUAUAUAUAUAUAUAUAUAUAAUCACAAUGAGUAUAUUAAGAAUAAAGAAAUCAAAUAUAACAAUAUUAAUAUCUCAAGAUAACUAUUUAUAAAUAAUUAAAAUACAAAUAUAAGUAUGAUUGACAUCACGUUAAAAUAUAACAUCAAUUACACAAACCACGUAUCACCUAAUGUUAUUUUUUAAAAAAAUGUAUAAUAAAAUAGUAUUAUUUUUAAAUAAAAUAUAUAAAAUAAUAAAAUAAAAUAUUUAUUAUUUAUAUCAUUAGUCAAAAAAAUGUAAAAGUUACAAUGUUAAAAAAAAAUAUAUAAAUAAAAUUAAUCAUAAAAAUAAUUAAUAAAUAUUUUAAAAUAAUUUUAACAUUAAAUUAAUUUUCUAAAAUUCUAUUUAAAUAAAAUAUUUUAUCAUAAAAAUUACGAUGUUACACGAUGUAGCACCGUUCACGACCCGCGCACGAUCUUGCAUAGAAAUUACAGUGUGACGAAUAAGAAAAAAAAAAUACAAGAGAAUAAAAAAAAAAUUAAAUACAAGAAAAAAAAUUAAUAUUAAACUUAUUUCUAAUUUAAAUUUCAAUCAUUUAUUAAUUGAAUUUAUAAUUUAUCAAAAAAAUAAAUGAAUACAGUAAAAUGUUAUGUAAUUAUUUUAUAAAAAUUAAUUAUAUAAUAGAUAAUAGACAGUUGAUACAUAAAUAUAAUGGAGUUUAAAUUUACAACACUUUGUAUUGCCAACAUAUAUAAUAUUCAUUAUCAUAUGAAAUACAUUAAUCUAAUAGUCAUACUUAAUACAUGAAAAAUGAAAGAUAAUCAAUUCCCAUGAUAGAUGUCAAAUUGAAAUAAUUGUAAAAAAAAACACUUAAUUAUAUGUAUGCAGAAUGAAUAAUAUUAAAAUAAUAUAAAAUGUACAUAAUUAAUAUAUCUAAUACUGAAAAUUAAAUUAAAUUAUAUUUUUUAAAUAAAAUUAGUAACACUCAAAUUUCUAAAUUAUUAGUAAAUUUCUAAAUUAUAGAUUAAUUUUAAAACUAAAUUCUCAAUCAAGAUUUAUGAGUAUUCAUGUUUGAUCUUUGAUUUUUUAUAUCUACACCAUUAUAUACAAAAGAAUUCAAAAAUUAAUGUAAAUAUUAUUUAGAAAAAUAAUUAAAAAGAAAUUAAAAUUAAAGCAAUUAAUAUAUAUAUAUAUAUAUAUAUAUAUGUAUAUAUAUAUAUAUAUAUAUAUAUAAGUAGAGCAUUAAAAACAAAAUUUUCAAAAUAAACAACAACAAAUUAAUUGUCAUAUAAAAUAAUUGGAUGUAAAAUCAUUUAAUUAAAUUCUAAUUUUGUAUUUUAUCUGUGUCUUUAAUAUAUAAUCAAUUCAAGAAAGUCUCACAUUGCAAACAUAUGUUAAUCAAUUAAUUUAUUUGUCUCUAAUUUUCUAUUCAUUUGUUUCAUUCUAUUUCUUUUAUAGUAAUUAUGAUUUUAUUUUUUAUUUUAAUUUAAGUGUAUAAAAAUUUUACUCUAUUGAAUAAUAUUUUAGCAAAAGUCUACUAAAAUAAGACAUAUAUAUAUUGACGUAAGUUUUGAACUAGUAAUAUGUUUUAUUAAAUACAUUGACGUAACUUUUUAAAAUAAAACAUGUUUGAUUAAAAUGAGGUUGAAAUGGUUUUAUACCUUAAUUUGAAACUGAUUCCUAUUAAAACUAGCAAGAGGUUUGUUUGUGUAUUCAUACGAAUCCAAUUUCUUAGUUUGAGAUGUGUCCCAUGUAUAAUUUUGUAUUAUUAAGGUAUUAAAAUAGUCAAAGACGUCUCAACCAAUUUAGAGGUCCGGUUUUAAUCUUAAAAUUUAGACAUUUAAUAUCUUGUAAAUAAUAUAAUAACAUCAAAAUUUUGAUUUUUUUUUUUGUUAAAAAAACAUGUGUUGUUUUUGUUCCUAAAAUCCGGUUGGAUUUAUGAUUUUUUUUUGUUUGUUUAUGGCUCUUAAAAUGUAUGGUGAAUUUUUCUUGAGCAUUCUCUCAUGCACUACCCCCAUCUAAACCUAUCACCCCCUAAAUCAACUUGUAUAAUUUUGGCUUUUUUAAACUUCUCAUUUUUUUUAGAAUUUUCAAAACUUUCGAACAAUUCGAAACUUACAAAAUAGAAAAUUUCAGAAUUUUUAAAACUUUCGCACAAUUCAAAACUUUCAAAAUAGAAUUUUUUUGAAACUUUCCAUAUUUAAAAACUUUCGAAAAUUUCUAGAUUAGGAAACUUUCGAAAUAAGAAUUACAUUUUGAAAAUUUAGAAUGUUUCGAAAGUUUCGAAAGUUUUCAAAUCUGGAAUGUUUUCUAUUUCGAAACUUCUGAAAAUUAUGGAAUUGUCUAUUUUGGAAGUUUCGAAUUGUUUGAAAGUUUCGAAAAUUCUAAAAAAAUGAGAAGUUUAAAAGGACAAAAUUGUAUUUUCACGUCGACUAGGAGUGGCAGGUUUAAGUGUGCGGGUGCAUUGUAGAAUCCUCAUCUUUCUCUCUUAGUAUUUUUUUGGGUCUACAGUACUCUUUAAAAAAAAAAAUUAUUGGACUAUGUGUUAGCCUUGAUAAUUGUUUUGCUUUUAAUGUAGGCAAUAUUAAACAGAAACUAAUUUUAGAUAAUAUUUUUCCCAUGUAUGAAUUUAAUAAUAAAUUAUAAUUAAUAUAUUUUGAUUAUUUUCAUUUAUAUUUAUAAGAUGUAAAAAAAAUAUCAAAUAUAUGUCAUUUAUUACGUGUUUUUAUUAUAUUUAUUAUUUAUAAAUAUUUGUAAUAUAUAUAUUUUAUGAAUCAACGAUAAGUAUUUGUCUCAUAUAUUUUUUUAAAAUUGAUCAAUGAUAAAAAUAUGUCUUGCGUUUUUUUUUUUUUUUUUUUUAGUGAGAUAUAUUUAUCUCUAUCAAUGAUAAAUAAUUAUUUUAUGUGUGUUUAAUAUUUAUCAGUCACAAAUAUUUGUCCAUAUUUUGUUUAUGUUUUAUCGGUGAUAAAUAUUUUCUCAAUGUACUUUUUUACAUUUAGUAGUAAGAAAUAUUUGUCCCGUAUUUUUUUUAUGUAGCAAUGUCAAAUUUUUUUUUGGUGCUUUUUAUAUUUAUCAGUGACAAAUGUGUCGCAUAAUGAUUAUAUGUAUCAAUAACAUAUAUUUGUUUUAAUAAAAAAAACAUAUAUUUUUCUCUUGUUUUUUACAUUUACGAGUGAUAAAAAUAUUUAUCCCAUAUAUUAUAAUUAUUUGCAUUUUAAUUUAGAAAAUAUAAAAAUUAUUAAAUUUAACUAAUUGAUUAGUGAUAAAUAUUUAACUCCUCUAGUGACUCAUUUUUUAGAAAAACAAACAUUUGAUUGUAAAAAAAAGAUAUAGUUAUUGUAUAUUAAUUGUUGUCAUUUUUAUGUUUAUAAUAUUAAAAUAAACUAUUAUAACAAAUUAUGUAAUUAAAAAAAAAUUAAAAAAAAUUUAAUCAGAUGUAUGAUUUUUAUUAUAAAUUAUAAUUAAAAAAUAUACAAAAAUACUAAAUUUAAAUUUAAAUGCUCCAACGACUUCUAUAGUUAUCCAUUAGUUUAAAAAAAUAACAAAAGGGUGGCACUUGCUGAAUUUUAUACUUUAGACUUUGUUGGGAUAUUUUAAAACUAAUGGGAACAAAAGAAAAGAGAAUAAAAUGACGAGAAAUUGUUUUGAUAUUUUAUGAUAAAAUGAAACAAAAUUAUCAUUUCAUUAUUUCGAAAAUGGACUAAAUAGGAGUUAUAACUUUUUUUAUUCCAUUUUUACCUUUAUUCAAAAAACACUAUUAUGAUUUCUUUGAUAUAAUAACUAAAAUCAAACCAACCACUUGUGUAUGGUGCAUGAGUCUCUUAUAUCUCAAACCAACCAUAUUUUUUAGUGGGUUUUUAGUUUGAAAAUAAUUUUAUUAUAUUAAAUAUUUUUUGUUCAUAUUAAAUUAAAUUACUUGCGCUACAUCAUUAAAUAAAUGAGUUUUUACAUAUUAAAACUCAUUUCAGAAGUAAUUUUAGUAUAUUUAUAAAAAUAAAAUAAUUGUCAAAUUUGUUUCCACUCAAGCUAGCUAUCAUAAAAAAGGAAAUUAUUCAAACAAGUCUAUAAUAACUGUUAUUUGCACUUUUAGGACAGAGACUAUACAAUAAACAAGAACAAAAUAGAAAAGUGUUUUUUUCAAUAGUGCAACGAUUAUACACAAUGAUCUUAAGUUGUUGGGUUAAAAAGGAAAAAAAAAAAAAAAAGGAAAUUCCAGCAAACCAAAAAUUGAAAAAAGAAGAAGAAAAAUUAGCAAUUCAUAUUUUUAUGUUUGUCAUGAGAAUCAAAGACCAUAAAAAAAAAUAAAGUAGGAGGAAAAAAGUAGUAAUUUAUGUGAGGAGGGAUACUUUGAUUUUUAAUAAUUUAAGAAGUUAGAUUUCAUCUCAUAUACUCCAAAUUAGAGAGGAAGAGAAAUAAAGAAAGUUGAUUGAAUGAAAUUAAUUCCAUCAUGUACCAUUCCAUUCCACUCUAUUCAAUCAAUCUAAACAAAUCCUUAGAGUUUUUAGAAAUUGUGACUUCAGGUAAGUGCUUAUUUCAUAUUGGACUAGUAAACUAGGUUACAUAACCCAACCCAUCAUGCUUUUAGCUAAAAAUAUGUGACUUUGGCUCAUACGAUGGGUUAUCUAUAAAAAUAUUGCCAAGUCCCCUGAGUUUAUAAUUAUUAAAAAAUCAUGUUUUACUUAUAAAGACACAUAUUUUGGCUUUUUAAAUAUUUUGCCAUGAAUAUGCAUAUUAUUUAUUGUAUAAUAUAUUCUAUUUAAAAAUAUGAGGCUUAAUUGCACUUUUGGUCCCCCUAUUAUAGGUGAAAAUUGAAAGUAGUCCUCCCAUUUUGUUUCUCCCCAGUUUUAGUCCCCCAAACAGAAUUUGAGUCCAAAUCAUGAUGAGUUGUCAUUUUUUUAAUGACGUGUCAAUAAAAAGCUGACGUGGCAGACGCAUAAAUGGAAUAAACUUAUUAUUAUAUUAUUUCUGAUUAAAAAAUAUAAUUUAUAUUUUUAAAAAUCAUUAUUAUAAUUGUUAAAAAUCAUUAUUACAAAUAAAAUUUAUUUGUUAAAAUUAAAUUAAAAGCAAAAACACCUAAAAUCAAAAAUCCUAAACAAAUCAAAAUCAAAAGGAUUCACUCAUGAACCCUAAAAUCAUUGUUCUUCAAUUAAAGUAAGCAAAAGAAAAGUGAAAUCAAUUCUGAUUAUCAUUUCUCUUCCCUGAUCCAUCUCCUUCUCUAUCUUCAAGCAACCUUCCAGUUUUUUCAUCAGGUUGUGAAACCUUCUUCUGUGCCUCUUUAGCCUUAAGUGCCUGCAACUUUGAAUGAUUAUAAUAAGCCACACCCAAGAAAGCAAGUCCAUACCCAAACAAAUUAAUGGGUGUAACAGUAUCCUUAAUAACAGACCAAGAAAACGCAAUCAAAAGCCAAUCUUUAACAACACCAGCAACAUUCAUUGUCAAAGCUGAAGUUUUGCCAACAAGAAGAAAAACAGCAAGAUUCAAAGCAAAUGCACAGAAUGAAUUAGUCCCAAAAAUAACAAAAUCAAAUUGAAAAGUGGAAGUCUGUUUCAAAAUUGGAUACUCGACAAGGAUCCAAGGAAUAGACAAGAAAACGAAACAACAAGGAGCAACGUAGUACAAAGAUGUAAUAGGAUUCAAUGAAAUCCCUUUGGAUGUAAGCAAGAUUUGAAUCAUAACCAAUUUGGUGGCUUCAAAAGCAACAACACCUAAUUGAAGAAUAACACCCCAUGUAUCAAACCUAGCUUCACCAUAUGCGGCAACACCAACGCCAAGAGAAAUGGAUAACAUGUUAAACAUGGUGUCGUUUUUGUAAGAUUCUUUUUUCAAAAGAACGCCGAUGGAGUAAACGACAACAGGCAUAAGAGCUUUAAGCAUUUGAAUAAAGGAGACUGAAUAAUUUUAGGGUUCAUGAGUGAAUCCUUUUGAUUUUGAUUUGUUUAGGAUUUUUGAUUUUAGGUGUUUUUUCUUUUAAUUUAAUUUUAACAAAUAAAUUUGAUUUGUAAUAAUGAUUUUUAACAAUUAUAAUAAUGAUUUUUAAAAAUAUAAAUUAUAUUUUUUAAUCAGAAAUAAUAUAAUAAUAAGUUUAUUCCACGUAUGCGUCUGCCACGUCAGCUUUUUAUUGACACGUCAUUAAAAAAAAUGACAACUCAUCAUGAUUUGGACUCAAAUUCUGUUUGGGGGACUAAAACUGGGGAGAAACAAAAUGGAGGGACUACUUUCAAUUUUCACCUAUAAUAGGGGGACCAAAAGUGCAAUUAAGCCAAAAUAUGAUUUUCUCGUCACCGAUUCAACUGCGGUUCAAUUUUGGUUUUACAUUGAACUUUAUAUCGGUGCCUCUUCUAGUUCAAUGAUUGGACAGAUUUUUAAAACAUUGAUAAAAACAUCAAUUUAAUCUCACAUUUACUAUUCACAUCCAAAGCACAUAAAAGACCAUUUUACUCCUUAUUACUAGAUAGUCAAAAUUUUGAAAAACUAAAAUAAUUUAAAAAAUAUGAAUGAAUGUGAAACUUUUAAAAUUCAACUUUUCUAAAAGUUAAAAAAAAAAAUCGAACUUUGAAUAAAUAUUAAACUUCUGAAAUAUAAUUUUUUCAAAAGAUAAAAUAAUUUCGAAACUUUGAAUGAAUGUAAAACUUUCGAAAUGUAAAUUUUUUAAAAGUUUAAAAAACUAUCAACAUAUGAAACUUCGUAAAUGCAAUUUUUCCAAAAGUUAAAAGAAAUUCAAAAUUUUAAAUAAAUGUGAAACUUCUGAAAUGCAAUUCUUCAAAAUUAAUAAAAUGUUGAAAAUUUGGAUGAAUGUGAAUCUUCAAAAAUGCAAUUUUUUCAAAAAUUUUAAAUAAGUUUAAAAAAUUCAGAUGAAUGUGAAACUUUCAAAAUAUAAUUUUUCUAUAAUAUUUUACUAAUAGUUCAAAAAUUUAGAUGAACACAAAACAUUCGAAAUGCAAUGUUGAUUAUCAAGUAAUAGGGUGAAGAUGGUAAACAAAAUGUAAAAUAGUAUUUUCAUGUAUUUUAAAGAGAUGAGAGGUAAAAGUUAGAGAGUAAAUUGUAGAUUUCUUCCGUUGUUAUUCUCUUGUCAUUUUUAUUUUUUAUUUAAUUAAAAUAAAAUUUUAAUUUCAAUUAUUGAAACAAUAAAUUUAAUUACUGAGAUCAAAAUUGAAUAGACACGUAUCGAAACUGUUAGUUUAGUCAACUUUAAUAUAUACUACAAUAAUGCCUAUAUUGAUAAAUUAAAAAAAACUAUUAGUCAAAAUGUUAAUAGUAGGCCAUACUGUCCGAUACGGGCGUAUGAACUAACCUACUCAAGGUCUAGUUUGUUAAUAAAAAGAUCAAACUUUUUAAAAAUUUAUUUAUCUAAAUAUGUUAGAUUUAAACUUUUUAAAAAGCCUAUUAAAUUUAACAUACCAAUCUAUUUAUAUAUAUUAUAAAAAUUAUUUUUUUAUUCUUAUAGACUAUUGAAAACUAACAAAUUCUAAAUAUCUACUGCCGCUUAGAGGUUUAUUUUUUAAUAACACAAAUUUGAUUUUUUUUUUUAUAUUAUCAAAAUACUCGCUUUUAAAAACUAUAUACCAAAUUAUCCUUUUUUUUUUAUAUAUAUAAUUAAUAUGUAGAUUGAUUAGAGUUUCCUGUAACAUUUAGAUAAUAUUUUCGAGUAUGACCAAUUAGCCGACAUAAUCCAUAUUUUUUUGACAAUAUUUCUCUAACAUCCAUUUUAGUUCUAUAAUGAGUACUAUUUGGACAAUAUUUUUUAAAUUUUCCGCAUUUCAAAAAACUGUGUUACAUUGUUUAACCUUCACAUGUGGGCCAAUAUCCUUCAUUGAGUAUAGAUGAAAACUCUUCUUUGUAGAUGUUGAAUACAUUAACAACCUAAUACAUGUCAGACAAAUGCACUAAAUAGUUUUGACGAGCCUAAGAACAUGUUGCUAUAACAUGUGAAUAAGGCACGCGUAUUGCCUUAAAUUUUCUACAAUCACACCAUUUUAUUUGAAGGUUGACAUCGAAAUAACCAAUUGGUUGCACCUCUCUUGAGUUUACUGUUUCAUUCACCAUGAAAGAAUAACAAUUUCGGUCGAAUCGCAUGACCUGGUAAGUAUUAGACUUACCAACUUCAUAUUAAUAUUGUCCUUGCAAUCUUGUGUAUAGUCGCCUUAAGCUAAUGAUACUCGACCAAAGUAGUGAUUGGGAGAUUGUGUGUACUCUUGGCAGCGUUUAUUAACUCGACAAUAUUUGUUGUCAUGUGUCCCCAUCGUCGACCUUGAGAAUACACUAUAGUCCAUUGUUUUGGGGGAAUAUAAUCAACCCAUCUUAAAGCAUCUGAAUUUACCAUCCUAAUUUCAUUGAUGUAAUAUUUGAAUGAUGGCUCACAUAAUGCAUAUUCUGUUAUAAAUGAGAUAAAAAUUGUCAAGUAUCAUAAAGUAAAAAAUGGAAAAUAUACUAAGAAGAAUUAGAUCAUUACCCAUACAAAUAACUUUUUAUUUUGAAGUUCCUUGUCCUUGAACCAUUUCAUGAAAUUUUGUGCAAUGUGUCGGAUGCAGUACACAUUUGUCGACAGAGGAUCAUGUCAACCAUGAUUUGGAUUGUUAUAAGCACUUUUAAAAGAUUUGUGCCUGUUUGAAAUCAAGCAAAUGCUGACUUAAGGUGUGACGUACCUUCUCAAAUUUUUCAAAAAAAGCUCCAAGCAUCCCCGAUUAACCUUCCACAAGUGCAUAAGCAAUGAGAAUUAUAUUUUUAUUCUCAUUGUCUGCAAUGGCUAGCAACAGAGCCCCCUUGUACUUGUCGUACAAUCAAGUUCCAUCAACUGAGAUAAGUGGUUUAUAAAAUUUGAACUCAUAGAUGUAUUGAGGGAAAACCCAAAAUAGUUGUUUGAAUUUUUUUGAACCAUGUAACAUAGUAUUAUCAGAAUAUGCAGGUGAUACUUCCAUUUCCACAAUAGUUCCUAAAAGAAAUUUUUACAUAGCCAACAACUAUCUUGGAAGGUCAUUGUAAGACUUCUCUUAGUCCCUAUAAAUCGUUUCGAUAGAUUUGUUCUUUUCCAUCCAUGUAUUUCUAUAGGUGAUUGUGUAGUUGUAUCGUUCCUAAAUAUGUGCAAUGAUCACUUUCACUUUAAUUGGUGGGUCAACUUUCAAAAGCGACUUUAUGUUUUCUCAUACUAUAUUAGAGUCAAGCUUGAGAUGAUCCUCGUCGAAGUAUGUUUCUUCUUCACUCUCCACAUCACCUAAUGGAUUAUACGGUUCAGGUUGAGAUGGUUCAUGUUUAGACGUUUCGACUUGAUCAAAGUAUGGUUAUGGUUGAUAUGGUCCAGGUACAUAGGAUUUGUAGUUUUGAAAAGAAUUAGUGUGUUGUGUUUAAAAAUUGUAUUCAGGAUGAGAUAUGGUUGAGGAUGAUGGUUGACCAACAUCAAAUAAUGGACGACGACAAUCCUCAAACGUGAAAUAUAACUCGAUAGAACCGAGUUGCGGCCACUAUUUUUAUGAAUAUCAAACAUGAGUUCAACAUCUUCGCUGUCUUCAAUAUUUAACAAUUCAUAAUGAACUAGACCUUGGCCAAAGGAGACAAGGUGUCGAAAAAUUAUAUUAGAUACCCUCUAAUUAAUUUCUAACUUCAACUUUUCUUCAAAUUUUUUCUUUAAGUAAGGUAACAUCCAAAAUGAAUUCGAAUAUAUAUUUUUUUCCUCACUUUUAAAAUAUUUACCAAUAUCUUGUCUUUCACAUAUUUUGCCAUUGUAGUAAAUAAGGAAAAAUACAUUUUUUUGGUGCCAUUGAUAUGAUUUAAAAUAUUUGAAUAAAGUGUAAAGAAAAUAAUAUAAGAUAGUUAUGUAUUAAUAAGAUUAGAAAAUCAUUUAUUCUAUCAAUGUAUUAAUAGUUCUAUUCAUGCACACACAACAAUAGUUCUACGCAUGCAAACACACAACAUAUUCUUUUUCUGCUAAGUUCUAACAAAUCUCCUUUCCAAAAGACGAUUUGGUCUUGCCAUCACAAUAUAUUCUCUGCACACCACACCAUUGGGAACUCACAUUGUUAUAAUGUUUGUAUUCAAUACAAAUAUUUGUUUAUUUUCAAACAAAUAUUUUCAAUGUAUUUGAAACUCUAUAAAUAGACUAAGUUUAUGAUCAUUCUCCACACAACAAAUUUUCACUUUUUCACUCUUCAAAUAUAUAUAUUUCUUAUUAGCUCUCACUCACACUUUUAUUGUCAUCUAAAUGGCUUUGUUGUGGAAUGAUGGUAAUCACGUAUCAGCACUACAAUACAUUCAAAAUUUUGUAAGUUAUACAAUAUUUUAUGUUAUAUUUUUAAUCUUUUCUUAUAUAUAUUAUACUAUGUUUCAUUCUAAAAUAUAGUUCCAUUCUAAUCGUUGCAAAAUAGGAUUCAUCUCAUUCUAAUCUCUUUAAAUACAUUUUUAAUCUUUGCUUAUAUAUUUUACAGGAUUCAUCUCAAAAUUUAAGAUCAUUUAGCCAUAAACACAUUGCACCAAAUUCUUUAAUAAUUCUAUUGUUGAAUCGAGUCGGGUUUGGUAACAUAUUACAAAUAGAAAGCUACAAAAUAGACAUUUCACUUAUUACUGUUUUGGUUGAAAAUGGAGACCUGGAACCCACAUGCUUCAUCUUUCAAUGUAUGAAUGUACCAUAACAAUGGAAGAUGUUGCACCACUACUUGGUUUACAUGUUCGAGGUAAAGCAGUUACUGGAUCAACUAUGGUAUCAUGGACAAAUGAUUUUUUAGGAGUCAUGCCACCUAAAUCUCAAAGAAGGGGAAAUUUUAUAAAAUUAAAAUGGUUGAGAGAAACAUUUUCAACGUUAACUCCAGAUUUGUCAGACGAAUAAAUAAUUAUAAAUUAUAGAGCGUAAAUUCUAGGAUUGAUCAGCGGCAUAUUGAUUCCUGACAAAUCCCAUAAUAGGGUACACAUUAUGUGGUUGCACUUGUUGAGAGAUUUGCGAGAGACGGGAGACUACAAUUGGAGUUUAGCAUGCUUGACAACAAUUUAUAGAGAAUUGUAUCACGCAUCUGAACUUAGUGUUAUGUCGAUUGGUGGAUGUACAUAUCUACUUCAAACUUAGGCAUUGUACCAUAUGCCAUUUAUUGCACCGAUAAGUAAUCUUGAGUCUCGUUUUUCGUUCGCAAAAAGGUAAUAGGUAAAUAAGGUAUUUAUAAAAUUGUUAAUUAAUUCACUAGCGUUCAAAUUUAUUUUCGUAGAUAUAAUAGAAGGGUAUGAAAUUUGGCGAUACACCUCACUAUCAUACCGCUGGAUAUCGAUUAAAAAUUGAUCAUACGGACGAUAAUGAUGCAAUAUAUUCAAACAUUAAUAUAUUUUUAUUUUUUUGUUUCUUCUUAUACAUACAUUAAUAACAAACCUCUUAUAUAUCAGUUUCUUUGAAGGUGGGAUGCAUCUACAUGUUUGGUUUGUUUCUACAUAAUAGAAAUACAUCAAACAGAUAGAGUGAAACUACAAUUUGGACUACCGCAAGAAAUACUACAACUACCGAGGAACAUGAAAAAAUAUCAUAAGGUAGAUUUGUAUAAACAAGUUGGCUAUUAUUCUACAAAAAUAAGAACACAAAUGGAAUAAACGAGAGAAUCAAUCAUUCAUGGUCAACCUUUAAAUGUUGAAUUUAAACCAAGUUAGUAAUACAUGGUUUGGUUUUGAAAAUUUUCCAAACGAUUUGUUUAUGUAGAAAAUCAAUUGAUUGAUUCUCAUGUCAGUUCACCCCAACCUCCACCACAAUCUACCCAACAUUUUUUUCAGGAACUAAUGUCCAACACAACACAACAAAAUUAAUAUUAUAUACCAAUGUCGUCUAACACUCAACCAUCUCCUCAUAUUUAUUUCCACACACCACAUCAAUCCUACAGGUUCACGUCGGAUGAACAAUUUAAUUUUGACAACCAACAACCACAACAAGAAGACAAUGGUUGACUAUCUUUUGCAUCAAGCGAAGAGAAAUUAUUGUAUAACACGUUCAAUACUCGUUAUAAUACAUCUGAGUCUGCUACCCAGUUGCUUAAUAAUAUGUAUCAAUAAAGCUUUCAUAUUCCAAGCUUUGAGAAUGCAUUUACUCCGUUAAAUCAAAUAUUCAACUGGACUCAAUGUGGAAGUAGUUCUUCUGCAACACUUCUCACUCGAUACCCUCACGAACAAGAAGAUGAAGAAGAACAACAACAAACUCGUGAUGUACCAAGACAUCGUCAAAAUCUCGUGCGUGCGAGAAAACAUCGACAAUAAUUUUAUCUUAUUUUUUAUAAAAUUUAUGUUGUAGUUUUUUAUGAAUAAAUUUUAAUGAAUUAUAUUAAUUUAUAUAUAUAUAUAUAUAUUUCCGUUAACUUUAAAUAAAUAAAAAAUGAAUGAAUGAAGAAGCUUUUUCAAACGGUGACUUCUUUUUAAUUUUUUUUAAAAAAUAAAUAAUAAAUAAUUUCCAAAUCGCCAAUUGCAAACUUCAGUUUUCUUUAAUAUUUUCAAAAGGAAUAUUUUGAUAUAUUUUUUUUUUCAAGUUAUUAAAAAAAAAACCUUCGUAGAUCUCUAUUAUACUUAUUUUUCCUAUUUACUAUUAUAUCUUUCAACUAAAUUUUAUACCAUUAUAAUACUAUUAGUUUUUCAAGUUUGCUUUGUCGUUAGCUAUGGAAAUAGUAUGCUAUUCUUUUUUUGGGUAAUGAAAUAUUAUGCCAUUCUACCAGGUUGUUAUUUAGCAUGCUACAUUCUAUUGUCUUGUUGCAUAUGUUCAAUACUGAAAUUUCUAUCUUUCUUUAUUUAGAUAAAUGUUUUUAUUUUUAUUUUUAUGUAUUGAAGUUAUUUUUUUAAUUUAUAAUAAUAAUAAUAAUAAUAAUAAUAAUAAUAAUAAUAAUAAUAAUAAUAAUAAUAAUAGUAAUAGGAAUAUUUUUGAAUUAUUGUAUUGAUGAAUCCUUACUAUAAUAUUUAUCUAAACAGAUAUGUGAUUGUUCUCUAAGGUGACUAAAUAGGCUUUAAAUAAAAUUUCUAUUUUUUUAAUUUAAGUUUUGCUUCAAUUUUUAAGAUCCACAAAAUGUCGUCUCUAUUCGACAACAAUGAAACAAUUACAUCUACCUCAGUAAAUAUUAAUGAAGGGAAUGAGUGUGGACCAAUAGAUUCAAAUCAACCAAAUGGUAACACACGAGGAGGUGAAAAAGACAAAGAACAAGUUGGAGAUGAGGAAGUCAUUAAGAGAGAGAGAGAAACAACUAUACUUCUUUGAUUUCAUUUUGAUGAAGUUGAAAAGGGUCAAGCACUUGCCAUUUGAAAAGGCUUGCUAAUCAUCGCAUGCAAAAGAAGCUUCACCCAUCUACUAAUAAAAAGAAGCAAGGUGUCAUUCCAAUUCAACUUACUAAUUCAGGUAAUUCGUUUUUUAUUCUUUGGAUGAGAUACUUUUCUUGAGGAAGAGGCUUGGAUGUGGGCCUUCCAAUAUUCUAAUUCAGAUUUUCAAACAAUUGCUCAUAAAAUAGCAAGAGCUGACUUUUUGGCAAUAUAUGAAACUGAGAAGAAAAAUCUGAAGAGUUGGUUGAAAACUAUCACUAAAAUUAGCCUAACAAGUAGGGCCAUCAAGUUAUAAAACACAUGCUUAUCAUAGGUCAUUCCAUAAAUCAAAGUGUUAUAGUUAAAAUGGAAAAUGAAACUCUUAAAAUUGAUAUUGCUAAACUUAAUUAAGGCUGAAAUUCUAACUCUGAAAAGUAGUUAUAGUUCAACAUCAAUUGAAAUUACUACAUGUAACUCUGAUAAGUAUGAAAAAGUAUUUCAAUAUUUUCUUGUUAAUGGUAUGAAAAGAAGAAAGUAAGCUUCUAUAAUUUAUGGAGUUACUCGAAAUGGUAAAAGAGGUCUAUGAUUUGAAGAAAUUGCAACUGAACCUAAACAUAUUCCCUAUGAUAUCUUGUGUAUUGUUUGCUCUAAGAAAUGUCACUCCAAAUUAUCUUGUCUCAUGUUAAAUACAAGGAAAUACAAGAAAUCUUUCAAGACUAACAAACCAGGACUCCACCCAAAUUUAGGUACCUAAGAAUUAAAUUGUAUGUAUUGCAGAUGUCCCCAACAAUCAAGUUAAAACACCAAUCAUGGUACCUAGACAAUGGAUGUUUGUGACACAUGACGGGAGAAAAGUCUAUGUUCCAAUAACUAACAUUGAGCAAAGGAGGCACAAUGACUUUUGGAGGAAAGAAAAAAAGCCAAAUAAUUGGUCAAGGCACUGUUGGUAAUGGUACUUCCCCUUCUAUUAAAGAUGUCUUGUUUGUUAAAGGUCUUAAGCAUAAUUUAUUAAGUAUUAGUCAGUUAAGUGAUAGUAAUUAUGAUAUUAUAUUUAAUCAAAAAAAUGCAAGGCACUAAGUCAAAAUGAUGGAUCUAUGUUUUUUACAGGUUAGAGACAAAACAACAUUUAUAAGAUAAAUAUGUUUAGUCUAGAAAAACAAAAGGUUAAGUGUCUUAUGUUAGUAAAUGAAAAGAAACUAAUUUGACACAAAAGAUUAGGUCAUGCAAACAUUAGAUUAAUUUCAAAAUUGAAUAAACUUCAACUAGUCUGAGAUCUACCUAAGCUUAGUUACAAAAUUAAAAUUAUGUGUGAAACUUUUCAAAAGAGAAAACAAACAAAGAACUCAUUUACCCAUAAGAACUCAGUCUCUACCUCAAAGCCCCUUGAGCUCUUACAUAUAUAGAUCUCUUUCGGCUAGUGAAUAAACCUCUCUACGUGGAAAGAAAUAUGGCUUUGUUAUAGUAAAAUAUUACAUGGGUAAAAUUCUAAAGAGGUAAGGAUGAAUCCCAAAAAGUGUCUAUCACAUUUAUAAACAAGUAAUGAAUGAAAAUGGUUUUAAGAUUGUAACAAUUAGAAGUGAUAAUCGAUGAGAAUUUGAAAACAAGUUCUUCGAAAGUUUUUGUGAUAAGAAUGGAAUUUCUCAUAACUUUUCAUCUCCUAGAACACCUCAACAAAAUGGAGUUGCAGAAAGAAAGAAUAGAUCACUCUAAGAAAUGGCUAGAACCAUGUUAAAUGAAAUGAAUGUUGCAAAACACUUUUGGGAUGAAACAAUUAACACAACAUGUUAUAUUCAAAAUAGAGUCUUAAUUAAUUCUAUAUUAAAUAAAACACCAUAUGAAUUGUGGAAAGGUAAAAAUCAUAACAUCUCUUACUUUAAACAAUUUGGUUGUACUUGUUAUAUGUUAAACACUAAAGAUAACUUUGUUAAAUUUGAUUAUAAAUCUCAAAAUUGUACCUUCAUUGGAUACUUUGAAAGAUCUAAGGUUUAUAGAGUGUUUAAUGGAGAAACUCAUAUUGUGAAAGAAUUCAUACAUGUUAAAUUUGAUGACAAACAACUUAACCUUAAAAAGUCAAAGCAAGAUGAUGAUAGUGCAAGUUUACUGGAACCAAAGGAAGCAUAUGCAAACAAACUAGAAGAACCUGGAAAAUCAGAGGAUACAAGCAAAUCAGAAGAAGAUGACAAAUCAUUAGAGGAUGAAUCUGACCAAGUAAGAAACAAUCAAGAUAAGUCAGAAAGGUAAGUGAUCAUUGUGAAAGUUAUCUCAUUAUGAAACUCAGAGGAUGAAUCUGUGCAAGUUACCUCAUUAUGAAAUUAUAAUCAUUGGAAGGGUAAGUGACCAAAUAAUCACUAAAAGAUACCACUUUGUUUGGCUUACUCUCAUCAAUUUAGCCUACCGUUGUUGAUGAAACAUUGACAAAUGAUAGAUGGAUUCUUGCAAUGCAAGACCAUUUAAAUGAAUUUAAGAGGAAUAUUUCAAUGCAAGCAAAGUUAAAUGAAUUUAAGAGGAAUAUAUUUAGAGUUUUGAUAUUAACAAAAGUAUUUUAUAAGAAUAAUAUAUUUGACUUCACAUAGUAGGAAAAAAGAUCCAUGUUUUUGAAAAUAAUCUAAAAUAAGAUUUAAUUCAGAUUUGAUUAAAAAGAAGAUAUGGUCAAUAUUUGAAGAAUAUAUGAUCAACAUCUUAUCAACAAGAAGAUAUGAAUUAUUUACAAGAAGAUUUUAUCAAGAUUUAUCACAAGAAGUUAUGAAUUAUUUACAAGAAGAUUUUAUCAAUAUUUAUUUACAAGAAGAAAUGAAUCAUUUACAAAAAGAUUUGAUCAAGAUUUAUCACAAGAAAAUAUGAAUUAUUUACAAGAACAUUUGGUCAAGAUUUAUCUACAAGAAGAUAUGAUCAAGAAUUGUUUACAAGAAAAAACACUCACAAGAAGAUACAUUUAUUAUUUGCAAAUAUAUGAUUCAGAUUUUGACUAAGGACAAAAUACUGAAUUGGACUUAGUCAUAUUCCUACUUGUGAAAGUUCAAGAACCGAUCCAACACUAUGUUAUCACCCAGAUCAAAGCAAGAAAUAGGAAGGAAGUUUCAUCUGAAGAAUUUGCAGAAGGAAUCUUAACAAAAUAUGAAUACUAUCAAUUUGAAGAAUUUACAAACUUAAUCUUAACAAAAUACGAACAAUAUCAAUAUGAAGUUACAAACUCCAUUUGAGGAAUUUACAAACUCAACCUGAACAAAAUAUGAACAUAAUCAAUCUAGAAGAACUGCUCAUAUUGGAUUCAGAAAUAAAGAAUUUACUAAAGACCAUAUUAUCAAAAAGCCUCUUGCUCAGAAUUAUUUUUGAAUAAGAUUAUUUUUUACCAAGCUAGGAAUGAAGAUACAGUUCAUAAUUAAAUAAUGACUAAAUUGAAGCCUUAAUUUUAUCUAUAAAUAGAUACUUAAGGAUGAAGAAGGAUAUCAUCGAAAAAUCAGAAAAUAGUAGAAAAACUCAAACUCAAACUCAAACUCAAAAUUCCAAAUUCAUCUUAAAGUUCAAAUAGAGAAACACUUGUUCGAAUGAGAAAUAUUUUCUAAGUGCUUUUCUUUGAGUAUGAUAGUCAUUGUUAUAAUCAACUUGUUAGAAGUAACUACUCAAGUUCUAAACCUUUGUAUUCAAACCUGAUAGUGGUGUUAGCGUGUCUUCAAUAAUCUGGGGUUGUCAAAUUAUAUGGAGAAGAUUUGGUUGGUAGAGUCAAGGUGUGCGUGUUCGUCAAAAUUCUAGGGUUGUCAUGUUGUUUGAGAAGAUUGUCUUGGAGUAUUAUGUGCUUUGUAAUUCAAGUUGUUGAAUUAGUAGAUUAAAUCUUUAUGAGUAGGGACAUAAUAUAGCCAAGUUAGCGGUGAAUCAAAAUAAAUUAUUUGUGUCACUUUAUUCUUGCACUCCUUAGUUUAUUAAUGUUUUUACUCCAAGUUGAGAAAAUUUGUAAUUUAUUAGAAGUAUUCUAUCUAGCUACUCAUGUAAUAUUUGAAAGUGAAUAUCCUACUGCUAAUUUUUAUCAUGCAGAAGUUUGGAGGAUAAAACAAGUAAUAGAUAAUACAAUAGAGAAUACUGAUAUUUUUAUGAAAAAAAUGGUAACACCAAUGAAAACAAAGUUUGAUAAAUAUUGGUGGGAAUGUAUCAUUUUUUAUGGCCAUUGCUAGUGUGUUGCACCCUAGGUGUAAUUUUCAAAUUGUUGAAAUAUGUUUUCCCUUAAUAUACAUUCUAAAGAAGUUUCUGAUGAGAAUAUAAAGAAGGUCGAGAAAUCAUUGGAAGAACUAUAUGGUGAGUAUGUGUCCUUGCGAAUGGAAGAGUUAUCUUGUACAAAAGUUAAUAUUGAGUUUGAUCAAAUAAUAAGCAUUCUACGUGAAAAGGAAGGAGUUCCUCCAAUGAAAUAAGAAUUACAAGCUUAUUUUUAUGAAAAUGUUUAUAAUUAUGUAGGGUAGAGUAAUUCCUUCAAUGCUUUGGAGUGGCGGAGGAACAACAACAUAAAGUACAAGAUUUUUCAAAGAUGGUUUUAGAUAUACUAGCUAUUCCGAUCUCAAGUGUGGCAUUAAAGUCUAUUGUAACGCCCCAAAUUUUUUAUCUGAAUAUUACUUAAAAAUAUUUAUUUUCUUUUAGAAACAACUAAUUUUUUUUUCUUAUGAGUAGUUCAUCAUGUAAUAAAUUGAAGAUGCGUAAGAAAAUAACUUGAUGUAUUUUUUUUCGUAAAAGAACGUAAUGUAAUUUACUAAAAUAUUAUUUAUUUAUUUAUUCAUUUGCAAAAUUAAUAUCCCAAUUGUUAGAUCGAUAUUCAUUUAGGGUCCAAAAUAAAAUAAAUUAUCUUUAAGUGAAAUUCAAAAGAAACAAGGUUGACUGAAAUUAAUGACAUUCAAUUAUUUACUAGCGAAUGAAAUCUCACUUCCACAUUUCUAUUAAAAGUUAAUGAUGACGAAUAAAUAACUUUACAAUGUACCACCAAAUUUUUAGUAAUACAAAACAAUAUUUUUAAGUAAAAGUCUCAUUUUCUCCCGCGUGUGCACCAAUCAAACAUCGUUCAUGCAACUUUUUGAGAUGAUUAGUACCUAAAUGCUGGUGUAAGGGGUCAGUUCAUCCCACAGCAAAAGUUAAACCAAAUAAUAAAAUAACAACCAUAAAAUAUGAAUAUAAAAUCUUUUCGUAAUACAAGAUAUAAAGAAAUUGAUUCUUUAAUUGUUCUCAAAGGGGUAUCAAAAAUCAUAAAAUAUAUCUAAAUAAAUCAAGUAGCAACCGUAGAACAAAUAAUUAUAAAAAAAUAAACAAUAAAAUGUAUGCAAGUUAUGCAUACUCCUAAAUAUAUUUGAUCCGGAUAUAACCAGCCACACAGACGUCCACAAAGAUGCAUAUGAUAUGUCAUGAAAUGAUAAUGAUGCUCAAAAUAUACAUGUCACCACUCACUUAAAUAAUCACACAAAUCAUCAGCCACUUAGGCAACCACAAAGAUAACAAUAUUUAAAACACAAAUCACCAGCCACUUAGGCAACCACAAAGAUAAUAAUAUUUAAAACACAAAUCCCCAGCCACUUAGGCAACCACAAAGAUAAUAAUAUUUAAAACACAAAUCACCAGCCACCUAGGCAACCACAAGAUAAUGAUAUUUAAAACACAAAUCACCAACCACUUAGGCAACCACAAAGAUAACAAUAUUUAAAACAUAAAUCACCACCCACUUACGCAACCGCAAAGAUAAAAUUUUUUAGAUUAAAUUUUUUAAUCACAUAAGACAUCAAAUUUAUAUUCUCAUGGAUGUUCAUAGUUAUAGCUCAAUAACUUCAACACAUCAAAUAUGCACGUGAAAAAAUAUCUCAAAAUCACACCACUUUCAUUUGAAUAAUCCAUAAGAUUCGAUUGGACUACGUGUUAUUGAUAACCAUUAAAACUCAUAUCACCAAAAAUACAAUAACAACAUAAAUUUCAUUCAUUUCACUAUAAAGUUUUCAGCAUUCUAAAAAUAGACUAUUAAUUAAUGCAUUCAAUAAUCAAUUUUCUCAUAUUAUUAAAAUUAAAGACAUAUAAAAUUUUCAUCAAUUUCCUCAAGACACAUAUAUUGUUCAUAACAGUCAAGUUUUAAAUUUAGAAUACUCAAAAAUCAACACUUAAAAUCAAAUACAUCAUAAUAAAUAUAUUAUUAAGUACAUCAUUAUAAAAAUUAUAACUUUAUAAUUAAAUACUCUAAAACACGUAAAACACUAAACAUAUUCACUACAAACAUAUUUAUCAAGAUAUAAUAAUAAAAAUAUAACUCUAUAAUUAAUUUCAUCAAGAUAGAUGUAUUAAAAAAAACAAUCAAAGCAUUAUAGUUAAUUUCUUUACAACGAAAAUAAAAUCAACAUUUUUUUUUAAGACAUCAUAUCAAUAUCUUACGAAUCGCUAAUUUAAUAUCUAGCCUAACUCAGCAUGGGGAAAAGCUCUUACCUUAGGCGUUUUCUUUCUUAACAUCUCUAAAUUCGCACGAGAAAUAACUUAUGAGGCAAUGAUGAAUUCAACACAUAUUGGAAUUUAUGACUUAAAAAAUUACUUUUGGAGUGUACGAAUGACAAAUAGGUGUGACAGCAAGAGGCCUAAUGGAAAUGUAUGAAAGUAAUAGCUAUUUAUGUUGUAAUAUUACGAUUGAGUUCUUGUCUAAAAUUGAAGUGCACUUAAUUCCAAAAUUAUGCUACCAAUAAUUACUAUUUAUUUAAUUUUAUUAGGUUGUUACAAAGUCAAUUGAAAUCAUGUGUAUUUAUGUGUAUGAGUUAAUUAGGAUUAACUAAUAAAGUUCACCAUAUAUUGCAGGGUGUCACACCAUCCAUUUUAAUUAAAUAAAUAAAUUAGAGAUUGUCACGUCACCCUUUUAAUUUUUUUUUAUCUAAUAGUUACGAAACCAAAAAUUUCAUAGAAUUAUUUUUGUAGACAAUUAAAAUAAAAUUAUUAUAAUUUUAGUUUAAAAAGGAUGAAUGCAUGAGAUACAAAAAGGACAAUAGUCUUUUUGUAUCCUCUCUUAAUUGCACAAAAAAAAAACUUAUAAUUAAAUUUAUAAUCUUCCUUUAAAAAAUAAAUUAAAGGUGUUAAAAAUCAGUUAAUGCACAUUAUGCCAAGAAACACAAUGAAUUGUCUUAAAAUCUUGUCAUAAAAGAGAGUAAAAGAAUUAGUUAAGUCACUAGUUUUUUUUUUUUUUAGGAUGGACCAAAAAUAUUUUCAAAACACUUAUAUAUAAAGGUUGGGUUUCACUAACUCUAUAAUAUCUCCUAAAAUAAAUACUUAUUUGGUCGUAAAUAAAACUAACAAAUAAUAUAACUUUUAUAAAUUCUAAUUUAAUUAAAUAAUUCAACUAAUAUUUUAUCAACCAAAAUAAAUCAAGCAAAAUAAGAAUACCACCCACACAUAACAAAAUAAAACAAACAUAUCUAACACAUCAAUUUCAUGAUUAUCGAAACUAAUCAAAUAAAAAAUGCACAAUAGUCCAUUUAGAAAAUAAUCACAUCAUAAAUCAUCCCCGUGUAAUUGACACGCGAAAAUAAUUAAAUAAAAAUAAAGGUUAUAAUUAUUCAGGUAAAAUAGAGCGUGAUAAAAUUUAGUUUAAUUUAUUUAUACAUAAAAUAAUUAUUAAUUUAAUAAUAAAUCAUAACAAUUAAUAACAAAACACAUAUAUAAUAUAUAUGAAAAUUUUGGAUUGUUAAGAAUGCUGCCCGCUCCGUAGCCUCAAACGCAUCUACAUUUAAUGCUGGGGUAAAGUUAUUGAUGAGUUUCAUUCAAGAUUGAAUGAGAAAUCAAUUGAAGCCUUAAUUGUGGGGGAGAUUGAUUUCGUCAUAAGUUUAACGCGAAGAUAAAGUCUAAGGUAAUAAUCUCUUAUUUUGUUAUGUUUCUUAUUUUAUAUUUUAAAUAAUAACAGUUUGAAUUCAAAUUUUUUUUAAGGUGGAGAAACAACAUGAAGAGGUCACCUUGAAGAUUUGAUGUAAUACUUUUCCAAUAUAUGGAUGUUGCAUCUUUUUAAUUGUCAUAUUUAAAUUAAAAUAUUAUUUAUGUAAUGACUUAGUAAGACUUAAAUCGUAUUAUGGUUGCAUUUGACAAAUUGUUCACUUAUUUAGAACUAAUGACCUUGUUAUAAUAUUAUUGAAUUUGUUUCUUAACUUAAGGUCUAUUUGAUUGUCUUAAGUUUUUAAUUUCAAUUGUCCUAUUGCAUUAGCAAAUUAAUUGAGGACUUAUAUUUAGUUAAAUGGUAAGCUGUUAGGUCUUUUUACCUUUAGCCUUUAAUUUUAGGCCGAUUGACCUAUUUAAUUAUGAUUGCAUUUAAAUGUUUUAAUAUGAAAAAAAAAAAAGUGCUUAAAUAGGCUUUCAAACUAAUAGGCUUUUAAAAGGCCAGAUUCGACCUCAAAAAAUUGUUUAUGACACGUAAAGAGGCCAAAAUUAUACUUUAAAUUUUCAAAACAAGUUAACUCUAUUUGACCAUAACCUACCUUAACGUACCCCAUUUUCACCCUAGUACCGAUACAUGCUAUUUUUUAUAUAGUGUCAUUGAUAUUUAAUAAUAUUUAAUUGAUAAUGGAGUACAUGCAAAAUCUAAUUAUAUCAUUGGUAUUGAUUAUGUAACAAUAAAGUAAAAAAAAAAGUUAGUAAUGAAGAUUUUUUUAAUUAUAUCCUCUUUUUGGAAAUUUUUUUCUUUUAAAAUAUUCUACUUUGAGACUAUAUCAAAAUAUCUUAUUUUUUUAGAGUUUUCAAGAGUGUCGCAGGACGGGGAUAGAAUGAUGUAUUGCGAUGAAAAUUUUAUUCCUUUAAGAGGUUGCAUCAAUCUAUUGUUUUAUUUGUAUAUUUUUUUUAACUAAUUAAAAAAUAAUAGACUUAAUUAUCGUUUUAUUCCCUCUAUUUUUACUAAUUCACGAAAUUAGUCAAAUAUAUUUUAAAAGUUGACAAUUUUGGUCCUCCUUCAGAUUUCUUAACUUAAAAAUAGUGGUUUUAAAUAUUUUUAAUGACAUGAUAUCGUGAUGUAGAAUCAUCUAGAUGCAUUAAUUAUAUUUAUAUUAUUAAUUAAAUUAUAAAAAUGAAUAAUUUCAUAAGUUGAAACUAAAGUUUUUAGAAGAUCUUGUUGUAAUUUUAUGGAUAUUAAUUAUUUAACAUCAUCAUAUCAUAUGUCACGUCUUUUAAAACAUGUCACAUCAUCAUUUUUUAGUUAAAAAAUAUAAGAGAGAGACCAAAACUGUUUAAUUUUAAAAUAUAUUGACUAAUUUCGUGAAUUAGUAAAAAUAGGAGAUUUAAACUGCAAUUAAGUCAAAAUAAUAAAAUAUCAAAAUAAUAGAUGAUCGUAUCCUAGAAUGUGAGGGGUUGACAAAGGGAAUUUUUAAGCACAAUACACGUCAUCUCCUCCCUGCGAUCAAUAAAAAAUUAGAAUUUUUUUUUUGUUAUUAGGAGAGAUUAUAAAUUCUACCAUAAUUAACUCACACGAUACCGAGUUCAAACCCAAACAAGAUAUUCAACCUACAACAUUUAUCAAUUAAAAAGGACAAAAAUUAAAAUGAUAAAUGUUAUUUAAACACAUUUUUAAACACAAAUACUAUCAUAUACUAUACAUAUGUGGCCCCCACACAAUCUCUCUGUUCUUUUACUUUCUCCCUUUUAUCUCUCUUUCUUCACUUUUUUUUUUCUUCCUCUAUAAAAACAAACCUCACACAUUCAUCUUCAAUUUCUUCCAUAAUUCCUUAUUCUUCCUUUUAUUUACUCAUUUUAAUUUUGGGUAAACAUUAGAUUAGAGAGAAACAUCAUGAUUUUGAAGGGAGAUGAAGAAAAAUAGGAAAAAAAAUCAAAUUUUUAAUGAAGUAACUUUAGCAACCUUAUUUACUCCCAUGCAAGGUAACUUCUCAUUUCCUUCUUUCCCAUAAUGUUGAGUUUCAAAUUUUUGUCUUUCAUUUAUUGAUGGGGUUGUUUACCUAUCUCAUUUACUUGAACUUGUUUACUUUAAGAAGGUGUUUUUUUCAGACACUAGUAUUGAGAAAAAUUGCAAUUGUUUUUGGUAUAUUAUUUUGCUUAAAUAUAAAUUUUUGUUUUUUUGGGUUCAUACCUAGUUUUUCCGCAUCUAGUUAAUAAUAUAAACAUUAUUGAUCAAUGAAGUACAAUAGGUGGUUAAUGACUUAUUUUUGUAUAAAAAUUAGAACUGUGAAUUGUUAAUCAAUCAUGUUAUUUAUUUUUGUCUAAAUAUUAACUUUUAUCACUGUUAAUCAAUUAUGUUAAUCAAAUUUGAAUUGUUAAGUUUGAUCAAUAUCUAAAUUGUUGGUAGGUUUAACACAUUUCAUAUUAUGUAAUUAAUAGUGGACCAAUUCUGGGUCUUUCUGAUUUUUUUCCCUAGUUAAUAGUGUAAAUAUUAUUGGUUAGUGGUCUAAAUGUGGUAGGUCUAACACAUUUUACAUUAUGUGUUUAAUGAUGUGCUAAUUGUUGGUUACUAAAGUGCAUACAGUGGUUAAUGAUCGGAUUGAAUUAUUUUUUGUAGUUUUUGUGUGACAUUGGCACUAUCAAUUGAAACUUCAUGGAUUGUGGUACUAUUGAAGAUGAAGGUAUCAGAGUUGACAACCUUGAUGAUGAUGAUGACAAUGCAUGUUGUUGGGAGCCUGCAACAGGGAUGUUUUUUUUUUUUUUUUUGCUUAGAUAAAGUCAAAUCAUUUUAUGAACAGUAUGCUUCGAGAAAGGGUUUUAGGUGGAAGAUUAUAUCUUCAAGAAAAGGGCAAGAUGGAGAGCUCUGCUACUUAAUUUUAUCAUGCUCAAGAGAGGGGUCUAAAGUGUCAAAAAAAUUGUGUACGUUAAAAACACUUCCAACUAAAGUAAAUAAUUGUCCCGCCAAGAUUGUUAUUAAGUUGGAUAAAGAUGGAUUAUGGUACAUUACAAAAUUCGAACAUGAUCAUACUCACGAGACGACUCCUACAAAGGCAAGGAUGUUCAAAGCUAACAAGAAUAUGAAUUUGCAUGUGAAGACAAUCUUUUGUCACAAUUCAACACAGCUGUGAUAAAAUGUAAAUGUUUUAUCAAUUUUGUCAUUUUUUAUAUGACAUUUUGUUGCAAUAAACAGUCAAGUAAAUGGAUUGUAUGAUAAUCAUGUACGUGGUUUAUCACUUUUGUCACUUUUUUGUAUGACAAUUUUGUUAAUGGAUUUGAAUAGAAUGUUAGGUCAUUCUUAUCAGACAAAAUAUAAAUCUGGUUAAUGGCUUUAAGAAACAUGGUUAAUGUUUUGAACAUCUUGAUUAAUGGAUUCGAAUUGAAAACUUGGUCAUCUAAUCAAACAAGAUAUAAACGUGGUUAAUGACCUAAAAUAAUAUGGUUAAUUCUUUGCACAACUUGGUUAAUGGAUUUGAACAGAAAGUUUGGUCAUUCUUAUUAGACAAUAUAAAUUUGGUUAAUAGCUUUAAGAAAUAUGGUUAAUAUUGUGAACAACUUGGUUAAUGGAUUCGUAUAGAAAACUUGAGCAUUAUAAUCAAACAAGAUAUAACUCUGGUUAAUGACUUAAAACCAUAUGGUUAAUGGCUUGCACAACUUGGUUAAUGGAUUUGAACAGAAAAUUUGGUCAUUCUUAUCCGAUAAUAUAAAUAUGGUUAAUGGCUUUAAGAAACAUGGUUAAUGUUGUGAACAACUUGGUUAAUGGAUUCGAACUGAAAACUUGGGCAUUCUAAUCAAACAAGAUAUAAACCUGGUUAAUGACUUAAAAAAUAUGGUUAAUUCCUUGCACAACUUGGUUAAAGGAUUUGAACAGUAAAUUUGGUCAUUUUUAUCGGACAAUAUAAAUAUAGUUAAUGGCUUUAAGAAGCAUGGUUAAUGUUGUGAAUAACUUGGUUAAUGGAUUCGAACUAAAAAUUUGGGCAUUCUAAUCAAACAAGAUAUAAACCUAGUUAAUGAUUUAAAAAAAUAUGGUUAAUUCCUUACACAACUUGGUUAAUGGAUUUGAACAUAAAAUUUGGUCAUUCUUAUCAGACAAUAUAAAUCUUGUUAAUGACUUUAAGAAACAUGGUUAAUAUUAUGAACAACUUGGUUAAUAUAUUUGAACUGAAAACUUCAGCAUUCUAAUCAAACAAGAUAAAAACUGGUUAAUGACUUAAAAAAAAUAUGGUUAAUUCCUUGCACAAUUUGGUUAAUGGAUUUGAACAUAAAGUUUGGUCAUUCUAAUCAAACAAUAUAAAUCAGGCUAAUGGCUUUAAGAAACAUGGAUUUGUUCAUACAUAAAAAUCAACGACUAAUGCACACUAAUUUUUAACCCUACAUAUUUAGAGACCAACAACAUUUAAUCAACACUAAUUUUUAACCAUACAUAUUUGGAUACUAAAAGCAAAAUCUAAUGCGCACUAAUUUUUAACCAUACAUAUUUGUUCAUAAAAACAUAAAGAAAGAAAAAAGAGAGGCAAAAGGUGUGGUUCACCAACUACAUCACUAUGGAGAACCUUCCAAAAACUCAAAAUAUGCCAAUAACACUUAUUUUUUAUUUUUCUUUUUCUUCUUCUUUUCAUCCAGAUUCACAAACGGACUUUGAUUGACUACAUUUUUAACUCGCUUCCUUGGUUUAUCUUUCAUUCUCAUAAUUAUGUUUGACGUUGGUUUUAAUGAACUGUCCAUGUUAGGAUCACUUGUUAAAAAAUGUAUUAAAAUUAUAUCAAGACAAAACUACAACAACACCACAACAUAUACAAUUUAUUACUUACCAACAACAUUUUCUGCGACUUCAUCCCCAACAUUCUCAACAGGGGUCCUAACAUUCAAUCUAAUGAUCAUUUGAAUCAACAAAACUAUAAUUUUAAAAAAAUCCUCAAACUUGUUAAUGAAUUAAUUAAGAUACUAAUCAUGUAUUGAACUGCAAUGAUAUCCAUACAAAUCUUCCAAUUCAGAAUUUAAGGUCACAUAAAACAUACUGAAAUUCCAUUAUGCAACUUGAAUUGGACAAUAAAUGAAAGAACAUGCCAAAAAAAUUAAUGAGCAACGACCAAAGAAAACACACACAAAAACUAUAAAUCUAUCUACCGCAAUUAUUAAACGAAAAACAAGAAAUUAAUUUUGCAUCAAAAGGAAGAAAAAAAAAAGGAGUAGAAAAAAAGAGGAAAAAAUAAUGAAAGAAAAACCGGCCGUUGAAGAAGAGAUGAGAAACCCUAAUUCAAAAUUAGCAACAAAAGAAAUCCUAAAUCAAUAACUAAAAACCCUAAAUUGAAAGAAACAACAAUCAUACAAAGAAGCAACAACAAUGAUAGAAAGAAGUAAACUUACAAUGAAAACACCCAACAAUUUGUAAUUAUCGCACAAAGAAGACGCAAGCGACAACGAGCGAUGACGAUGGGGAAGGAAGCAGAUGAGACGAGCUAAGAAAGAAACGGAGAGAAGGAAGAUGAGACAGGCUAAUAUGAGACGAGCUAUGACGAUGACGAAGAGAAGGAAGAAACGCUAAAGAAGAAGAAAAGGAAGAAUCGUAUAAGAGUUUUCAUCAUAAGAAACAACCCGGUUUUCGAGACUUCUUACAUUGCAUUACCAUAAUGACAUAAAUUGCUCUUGUGACUCAGAAUGAACCUUUCUCGGUGGAAGAAAGGAAUAGCGAUGGAGAAGCAUUCAGGAACAAGAAUGAAGUACCGUAUAAGGGUUUUCUGAAGAAGAGAAAAGGUUUUCUAAGAGAAAGAGUUUUCUGAAAAUAACUAGCAAAAUGGCUAAAUUGUCUCUUAGGUAUGUAUACGUAUGCAAUAUAUGUGUUUGUAUUUAUAUCCAAAAAUAUGUUUAAAUAUCAUUGCUCAAAUUAAAAUAUUUUAGAUUAAAAAAAAAAGAAGAUAUAAUUGAAAAAAAAAUCGUAAUGAUAUGGUACCUCUUAGAUUUUCUAGAUAUAUAUUAGACUAAAAACAAUAUAAAUAGGUUUGUUGUUUCUGCUUUUACGCCUCUUUUGAUUCGAUUUACCCUUUCACCCAAAACUUCAAAACCAUCCUUACUUUGCCAUCAACCAAGACCAUCGGCCUUCCACCUUUCGACAGUGUUUUCCAGCGACCAACCACCGUCCUUUCUUCUUUAUCAAUUGUUUAGUUCUGGUUUUUUUUCUUUCUAUUCAUCCUUACCAAGUUUUUUUUCUCUCUUAUUUAUUCUUUUUUUUAUGUUGUUUCAACGGUUGUUUUGAUUCUUAUUUACAACAUUUUAGUUUUGAUUUCUUUGUUUUUUGGCGUGCUGUCUCAUUGAUUUUCUCUUAUUUUAGAUUGAUUUUCAUGUGGUUUUUGCUAUAGGUGGACAACAUAUUCGGACCCGACCACAUCCACAGCCUCACAUCGUCUCCAUCGGCACCAUUGUCGCCUUUACCAUUAUCGUCGUCUCACUCUAGCCUUCACCAUCUUCUGUUGUUUGUUUGAAAUAUAUUAUAAUUUGUGUGUUUUGGUUUGCUCUUCUUGUCGAAGUUACUCUUUUGUGUUAGGGUUUGAUCUAGUAGGAACUUUUUUAUGAAAAACGACUCAAAAAACGCAUUAGCCGUUCAAUGGGUACCCAAUAAAUCUGACAUGUCUAACCCGAAACCCGACCUAAACCGCUAUAAAAGGGUCGAAAAUGGGUCUACACGUGUCACCCAUGGGUUGAUUCGAAUGUGGGAUUUGAACUCGAACCCACCCGAACCCGGUUGUUGUUCACCCCUAGUUUUUGCACUGUAUCCUUGGAAUCAUGACUUGCAAAUAUGGGUGGGAAUAGGUCAGGUCAGACCAGGCUUUGAAAGGCUUGAGUCUGGCCUACAAAAAAAAAUUAGGCCUAAGCCUGACCUACGACUUAUCAUAGACUCUUUUUUCGGCAUAACAUGACCUUUUUAAAAGUCUGGUCUGACCUGAAAGCCUAUUUAAAAUCCUUAUUAACAUUAAAAUAUUUAAAUGUUAUAUUUUAUAUUUUUUAAAUAGGUUAAAAUAUACAUUUAUAUAAAAGGAAAACUAAUGAAAUUAUCAUCAAAUCUAAUAAAAUAAUAAUUAACAAGUCCGCACUACAACAACCUUCCAAGAAAACAAAAAACAAAAUGAAUCAAUAACUAGUCUGUAAGACCCUUAAUUUUUAAAUCCUAAAUUAUACAAUUUUAGGGUAUUUGGUGUUGAAGUUUUUAGGCUUUUAGCCUAGUUUUUGGUAAUUAUGUGUGUGUGUGUGUUGAAGUUUUUAGGCUUUUAGCCUGUAAAAACAAAGGAAAACAGAAACGGAAGAAAACGAAAACAUUUCCUCCCCGUUUAUCGCAAACCCAUUAUCUUCUUCCUUCUUCUUCAUUUUUGUUGCUUCCUUUUGCUUCAAGAAAGGGAACCAAGGCUUGGUGGGUUAGAAAACAAAGAUUCCUCAACUUCAUUCUUUUUGUUUUAUUCGAAAACAAAGAAAAACGGUGUUAGGGAUUUCAAAACCGUCAAACACAAACCCCCACUUUUCUUCUAGAUCUAAGCUUCGUUUCGAAAAUAGAUAGAAGGGAAAGUUGCUCACCUCCACGCUACGGUGCUAGUGAACUAACUUUGGAAGCUACGUUGCGAGCAGAGAUUUUACCGGAAUUAAUUACGGUGCCGUAAUCGCGUGUUAGAACUAUCGUUAAGGUAAGGUCUCCUUCUAAACUUCUAGUUUGCAUUUAGGGACUUAUCUGUGGUUGUGUGGAAAAGAAAUUUGUUAGGGUUGAAGUGUUGAUUUGGGGAAAAUGAAUUUAAUGCUUUUAUGGGUAAAAUUUUAGAGUUGGGUUUUGGUGAUAUUAAUGAGUGUUUCGUGGAAAAUGAAUUUAACUCAUUUAUGUGUGGUUUUGAGGAAAUUAAAUUUGAUGUGUUUGAGUGGUGGGUUGAGAUAAUUUUGUGGUUGUCGUGUUUGACGUGUUCAUAAUUAAUAUUUAUAAAUUUUGAGAUGUGUUUGUGUGGAUUUUGUGGAAAAAUUAAUUGAUGUGAUUUGGUGUGAAUUGUGGAUUGAAUUUGAGAAUAUGUCUGAGUAUGUUCUGUGUGGAAUUUGAAAAUCAUUAGAGUUAAACGAGUAUUAAAAAUGGGGAAUCUUUUAAUAUCUCUAUUUACCUAAUGUUUGUAGUGAAAAUCGUUAGAGUUAAAUGGAUUUUGUGGAAAAAUGAAUUGAGGUGAUUUGGUGUGAAUUGUGGAUUGAAUUUGAGAAUAUGUCUGAGUAUGUUCUGUGUGGAAUUUGAAAAUCAUUAGAGUUAAACGAGUAUUAAAAGUGGGGAAUCUUUUAAUAUCUCUAUUUACUUAAUGUUUGUAGUGAUAAUUGUUAGAGUUAAAUGAGUAUUAAGAAUGGGGAAUCUCUUAAUAUCAGUAUUUACCUAAUGAUUGUCGUCAAAAUUGUUAGAGUUAAACGAGUAUUAAAAAUGGGGAAUCUUUUAAUAUCUCUGUUUACUUAAUGAUUGUCGUGAAAAUUGUUAGAGUUAAAUGAGUAUAAAAAAUGGGGAAUCUAUUAAUAUCUGCAUUUACUUAACGAUUGUCGUGGAUAGAGUCAGAGUAUGCUCAUGCAUUUCAUAGUACAUGGCGACCGAAUGGGCCAUGGUGAUAGUGGUGACCGGAUGGGCCACGAGAUGAUUCCAUGUGAUUUGUUGGUUCAUCUUAUCCUUGCGGGGAUUGUCGCGUCCUGUAAGGUCUGCGAUAGACUGCACAUUUUUGGUAAAUCGUGCAGACCCGUGAUAGGUGGCACCUCGGUAAAUAGUACUUCGGCCUGUGAUAGGCGGUACAUUUACGAUUUACGUUUUUAGUAAAUUGUGAUGACCCGUGAUAGGUAGCACCUCGGUAAAUAGUACUUCGACCUGUGAUAGGCGGUACAUUUACGAUUUACAUUUUUAGUAAAUCGUGAUGACCCGUGAUAGGUGAUACCACAGUAAAUAGUACUUCGGUCUGUGAUAGGCGGUACAUUUACGAUUUACGUUUUUAGUAAAUCGUGUUGACCCGUGAUAGGUAGCACCUCGGUAAAUAGUACUUCGGCCUAUGAUAGGCGGUACAUUUACGAUUUACGUUUUUAGUAAAUCGUGCUGACCCGUGAUAAGUAGCACCUCGUUAAAUAGUACUUCGGCCUGUGAUAGGCGGUACAUUUAUGAUUUACGUUUUUAGUAAAUCGUGUUGACCCGUGAUAGGUAGCAUCUCGAUAAAUAGUACUUCGGCCUGUGAUAGACGGUACAUUUACGAUUUACGUUUUUAGUAAAUCGUGCUGACCCGUGAUAGGUAGCACCUCGGUAAAUAGUACUUCGGCCUGUGAUAGGCGGUACAUUUACGAUUUACGUUUUUAGUAAAUCGUGCUGACCCGUGAUAGGUGGCACCUCGACAAAUAGUACUUCGGCAUGUGAUAGGCGGUACAUUUACGAUUUACGUUUUUAGUAAAUCGUGCUGACCCGUGAUAGGUAGCACCUCGGUAAUUUAGUAAUCCGGUAUGUGAUAGGCGGUACAAUUAUGAUUUACGGCCCUUCGAGGAGGGUUUUGAUUGGAAUUCUGAGUCCAUGCAUUUUGGCAUAUACGCAUUGCAUUAGGGUGCUUGGCACGCGAGUCGUGUUUGAUUCAAGAUUAUGAUUGAGUGUUUGAACUCAAGUUGUCAUGGUGAUUGUGUUAUAAUUGCCAAGUGUGGAUGUUAUGGAAUUGUGUGUAAGUGUGAUUGAUUGCAAAACCUUUUCGAAACUCAAGUUGUCAUGGUGAUUGUGUUAUAAUUGCCAAGUGUGGAUGUUAUGGAAUUGUGUGUAAGUGUGAUUGAUUGCAAAACAUUUUCGAAACUCAAGUUGUCGUGGUGAUUGUGUUAUAAUUGCUAAGUGUGAAUGUUUUGAAAUUGUGUGUAACUGUGAUUGAUUGCAAAACCUUUUCGAAACUCAAGUUGUCAUGGUGAUUGUGUUAUAAUUGCCAAGUGUGGAUGUUAUGGAAUUGUGUGUAAGUGUGAUUGAUUGCAAAACCUUUUCGAAACUCAAGUUGUCAUGGUGAUUGUGUUAUAAUUGCCAAGUGUGGAUGUUAUGGAAUUGUGUGUAAGUGUGAUUGAUUGCAAAACCUUUUCGAAACUCAAGUCGUCAUGGUGAUUGGGCUAUAAUAGCUAAGUGUGAUUGGUUAGAUUUGUGUGUAAGUGUUGAUUGAUUUCAAAACCCUUUUAAAAGCUGAAUUUUGUUGUUUUUCUGCUGCUGUCUGAUGUGUAUUCGAAUACAGACUGUUGUAUUCGUAUACAGACAUGCUAUUUUGCUACUGACUUACUGUGUAGUCGAAUACAGACUGUUGUAUUCGAAUACAAACAUGUUAUUUUUGCUGCUGAAUGCUGGAACAGCCUUGUAUUCGAAUACAGAGAUGUUGUAUUCGAAUACAACAGUGCUCUUUUGUUAAAAACUUCAUUUUUCGACCUUGUUUAUGCAUGUUUGGCAUAUGAAAACCCUUUUAAGGUGCAUGCUAAGUUGAAAGGUUAUUUUGUGCAUUUAAAAACUUAAAUGUUAUGUGUUAAUUGUUAAUUUCGGUUGGUGACCCUUUACAACUAUUGUGGAAAUCUGGGCUUUGCCCUCAUAUGAGAACCAGGACCAUCCUACCGGUUAGUACCCUGUAGAUAGGAAGGUAGUUGGAAACACCUGACUGGAGCUGUGUUUGGAGGAUCUUGCGGGGCGCGUGAAGAUCAUCAAGGAUGUAUAGUUUUUUGUAGAAUGAUCAGAUUAGGUUGACGUAUAGGGACUAGAUGUCUUUCUUUUUGGGUUGUGUUUAUUUUAAUUUGGAAGAUUGUACCUAUAUCAAUAUUGUGAGCUUGACAUUUUAUUUUGAUGGGUUCCAUGUACCACUUUUUGAUGUGACGUGGGGAAGUUAAGAUUCUUGGGCAUGGCUAUUGUACAUGUGUCUGUCAAGAAUACCCCAGGGGUAUGAGCUAUGUCUGAUAGGUCUCAUAGCCUCGGUGCAUUUUGCUGUUUUAAAUACUUUGGAUUUUAAUUUCAAACUAUUUCCGCUGCUUGUAAAUGUUGGUGACUUUUGUUGUUGUGUUACGACUUAAAUAUUUAUCCAAAAGUAUUUUUUUCUUUAUUUCUUUGUUUUUAUGAAUUUGUUUUGAAAAAAAAAAAUACACUCGCGCUGUUAAAAAUUGGGGUGUUACAACUGUCCAUAUAUACAUAUCAAACUACAUGCUCUACCCAUACCAAUUUACAUGAUGUUCUACCCAUACCACAUAAUGCUCUCCACAUACCAAUACCAAUUUACAUAUCUAUAUAUAUUAAACCAAAAAUGAUUUUUCUAACAAAAUUUUAAAAAAAUUUGAAACAAACACCAUUUAAACCCUAAAAAAUGAUUUUUGGUUUCAAAGGAUAGAUUAUUUCCUGAAACAAAUGCACUCAUUAUUACCUCUCAAACAAAUAUAGAACCACUAUUGAGUGAUUGUCUAAUUGAACGACUACUGAAUAUGGAACGACUACUCAAUAUAGAAUCGCUAUCGAAUAUCAAACAGAUAUCGAAUAUGGAGUGACUAUUGAUAGGCCGACCUGUCAGGCCUAAUAGAUUUUUUUAUAAGUCUGAACAUAAACUAUUUAAAUAAAUAUGCUUUAAAAAUAGUCUGAACUAACCUUUUUAUUAAAUAGGUCAGACCAUAGGUCUAUGACGGACGACCUAUCCUAUUCUCAUCCAGCUUGCAAAUAGUUUUUUAAAGAAUCUUGAUUAUAAUGAAUAAAUUAUUAAUAUUUUUGUAAAAAAAAAUAUAAAUAUCACAAGAAUUUAUUUUUUAUAAUUCGUUUAGAGCAGCAAAUACUAAGAAUAAGCGAAAAAAAUCAAAAAUUAAACUAAUUUAAAAAACUAAAUCAAAUUUAAUUAUUUUUAAAUUUAACUAAAAUAAAAAAAAUAAAAAAUCAAAUUUUAUUUAAAAAUCAAUUUUUUUAACCGAACUGAUUUAAAAAAAAAAAAGAGUAAACUAUAACUAUAAUUUAAUUUUAAAUUUUAAUUUUAAUUUUAACAAAACCUCAAAAUUUCAAAAAUCCUAAAUCUACGUUGUAGAAUCUAAAAUUGAAUGCCUUCGCCCGCCGCCGCAUCAAAUAGAAAAAGCCAUCUUUUCUCACUUCUUCGUCGCCCUCCGUCUUCUCUCUUGGCGCAACAAUUCUUCGCCCUCCGUCUUCUCUCUUCGCACAACAAUUCAUCGCACUUUGUCUUCUCUCUUCGCGAGUCUGCGCCCUCUGUCGCCCUCUGUCUUCCGCCGUUACCUCUUAGGUAUUCAUCCACCUCCGUUUUCGCCGAUUCACCAUUUUGGUUCAUCUUCAUGAUUUUGCUUGUCUGAUACCUUUUGAUUUGCUUGUCUUGAUGAUUUGGCAAAUAUCUUAAAACAUCUCUGACGGUAACCAAAUAAGUUUGUACCUAACAAAUCAAAAUUUUUGGCGAGUUCACUCUCAGCACUGUUACCUUUUUUUAUUAAUUUAUUAAUAAUAAUAAAUUUAAUGAAUCCAUGUUGUUGAAUUUACUGUUGAAUAAAAAAUGAAAGUUGCUUCAAGAUGACGUGACACAGUUGAUCCUAUUUAAUAAACUCACAGUUGGAGAUGUUCUUAUUACCCGUCCUAACUAUUGUCACUAAUUUAGUAAUUUUUAUUCUUAUAAUGACUUUGUAACUGAACAUUCCUUUAAUUUCUCAAGUAAAUAUUUUUUUACCUAUAGAUUUCAGUUUUAUAGUUCGGAUUUUUUUAAUAUAUAUCUUCUCAGGCUCUUCAUAUUUUGCUUAGGUUGGAUCAGAUCAGUUAAAUUAUGAAGUUUUAUGGAACAGAUUUAGGUUCUAUUUUGCAAUGCAUAAAGCGCAGUGAAAAACAGAUCAAACUUAAGAAGAGGUAACCUUCAUUUUUCUUUUACUUUGGUGUUAGAUAUAUUAACAAAAUUUAAUUACAUUAGAAUUAAACUCGUGGUGCAGGUGGUUACUUGGCUUACCUGCUACAAAACUUGAGAGGAAGAAGUUGAAAGAAAUUCUAAAUACAGGGUCAGUGCUUCAUUUGUUCAAUGAUUUAGCCUUUUUGGAUAAACAUACUUAUUAAGUAAGCUCUUAUUUAAUAUUUAUAUAUGUUGUUUCUAUAACAAAACAUAAAAUAUAUUCAAUUCUUAAGUUAUCAUGAAGAGCUAAUGGAAAUAAGCUGAAAACAGCCUUAUGAACAUGUCAUAAGUUGUUUUUAUAAGUUCUCCCAAAUAGUCUCACAAGUGCUUAUGCCAGUAGAUAAAUAUAGAUAAGCAAAUCCAAACAGACCUUUAAUCACCUCACCAUGCUUCACUCUAAUGAAUUCUUUUCUUUUCUUUGUUUUCUUUUCCCAUUAACAGAGAUUUGGCAGAGUCUUUACUCAGGAAAGAUGAUGAUGUAAGUUUCCUUUAUUGUAUUAUUAUAUGCUUACAUUUACUUGAAUUGCUCUUCGAAGAUUUUAAAUUUGAAUGAUAGAUUGAUAAUCUAAUAAUAAUUUCAUCAGAUAUUUUAUGAGUCGGUGAGAACUCGUGUUGAACGCGCCUUUGGAGCACACUCCAUUGAAACAGAGAAUUGUAUUCCUCGUGAUGAUAUGGAUUUGAAUCAAAUACCAAACUUAAAAAGGUUGAUUGUAUCAUGCCUCGACAAUUUGACCACCAAGGGUCUAUACCUUCUUGCUAUGAUAGUUAGUGGUGGCACAACAAAGUAUGAAAGAACUCGUGUUAAGUUGAAAAAGAUCAUCAAGGGUUCUCUUUCUAGUGUUCUGAAUAGCAAAGAACACAAUAACCAAAAACUGGAAAUUUGUAAACAGAUUUUUCAACAUCUCAACAAUCCUCAGCAUUUUCGACAUAGGUGUGAGCUUUUGCAUGAAUCCGGGUCCCAAUCUUACCAUGCUGCUGUAAUAAAGGUGUUGUGUGAACUUGAAAAAUUACCAUCCGAAUCCUUGAUUGCAAUGCGUAGAAAACUUAAAGAUGUUAAAGCACCGGUGCCUCAGUUGCAACCGUUCAAAGACCCAUGGUCACGGAGCAGGCUACUCCAAACAGUGAAUCGAAGCUGUAGAAAGAUGCUUUUACAACUUGAUAGAGGAAAUGAGUUACAAGAGCCAUUAGCCAAAGCCAUGUCCGUAGCAUAUUUAUCACUAAAACUGAAAACUGGUUUUUUUAACAAAUUUUUAGAAGAAUUUUACCAGUUCUCGACUGAAGUGAAGUCCCUGCAGAGUGAUAUUAUAAAUGCUAUACGGUCCAUUGAGGAAGUUGAAGUAGUGCCAUUGCAAGUGCUUAAAGAUUUACAACUUCUCAUUGAACCAAAGGCUACAAUAUCAAACAAGGGCUUACGGCCAGCUUUUAGAAAUCUUUUGACUGAGUUUCUUUUUGAGUGCAGUGAUAUGGAUAGCACUCCAAAGUCUCUAUUGCAGAUCCUAGAUGUUAUUAAUAAGAGUUCUAAUAGCAGCACAAACGAUGUAACGUUCCAGAAGAAGUAUAUUGAUGAAGAAGUUGACUGCAUACUAAGUGUGAGUGCUCAAACAAAUCAAAUUAUUCAAGAUUUGUUGCCAAACAGUGAAUUUGACCAGGACUUCACUGAUGCAUAUAUGGAGCAAUCAGAAGAAAGUGAUGACAGUGACAGUGAUGAAGAUGAGAAUAGUAAUGGUAGUCAACUUCAGGAGAAUAGACAUUUUGAAAAUGGAGCAUUUAGUACAAUGUAUUCAAAUUGUGAGGGAGAAAGUGUUGGGGAUUUUACACCAUUUGAGUUUCAUCCUCCUACCACUAUUACCGAGCCACUUACUUCAAGUGAAAGGUUGAAUAGUGAUGCAACAAAUUUGGAAUUGAAAAAUUGCAACACUCCAUAUAAUAAUCAAUGCCAAGAAGAAAGCACUGAGCAGUUUAGUGCAUCUGUGGGAUAUAAAAACUAUAAUUCUUCAGUUGUUUCACCUGACAAGGAACCUGGUGAAAAUAUUGUCAGGAGACAUGAUUUUUACAAAUCAUACACAGAAGUUGACCCAAAAGAUGCAUCUAACUUUUGUGAGGAGACAGAACCCAUGCCCACUAAGUACAACGCAUGCAACAACCAAUACCUUGCUACCCAAGAUGCUUGUGAUAAAACAGCUAUGCUUGCAUAUAAUCUCAUAGGUGAUAUGUUGAAAGAGUUUGCCGCAACUGAAGGCCUAAACCUAAACAUAAGCGAUCGUUCAUACCUCAAUCACGAAGCAAAAGGUACUGAAAAUUUCUUCUAUUACUACCACUACAACAAAUUUAUUCACAUAAUGUUGAAUGAUCAUAAUAUUGCUACUCUACAUAUUUUAUGAAAGCCUUAUGCUUUAGUUUUAAUAUAUUGUGAAUAACAUUUAACUAGUGUUUUGGUAUAAAUUUAUCAAUUAAUAUAGAGAUUUAGUAAGUUGCAUCCUGCUGGUGCUAAGAUACUUGUGCUGUCGACAUUGAUUAUCUAGUUCUAUAUCAUGCAGAAACAGAAAAACAGUCAUUAUUUGGGAAACAUAGAAGUGGUCCAGCUAUUGUUCGAGUAGUUGAAGAGCUUAUUCCUUCCUUUCCAGAUAGGUAUUUGUUACAUUCUUCAAUAAUGCUUUUAUUUUUCUGAAUAAGCUUUACUCUUUUGCUGUUUUGCAUCUUUGUGUAGUAUGAUUUUUUUGUGACUAAAUUGUGUACUACAUCUUAGAUGCUUAGCAAAUAUAUUAGACGAUGUUAUUAUAUGAGCAUGUAAGUACACACUAAACUAGCCAAAUUUAUGUCGGAGUAUGAAUAACUCUUGUGUUUUGGACACUGUAGUAGCAUGGAAAGACUGAAGGUACUGAUGGGCUUAUGAUAAUGGAACUUGGGCUUUCGCGUAGGCGUAUUCAUUAGUACUGGUUAAUCCGCUAACUCUGUCACUCAAACUAACUCGACCCGCAUAUUAUUAUUAACCCACCCCAUUCAAGUAUAGGUCCAACCUGUUUAAACUCAAAGGUAUUCGGUUUAGAUAAUGGGUUUGAUAUUUUGAACAUGGAAACUCGACAUAUUGAUGUGAAAUAUUUUAUUUUAUUUUUUAUUAUUGAUGUAUAGUUAUAGUUUAAUUUGUUUAAUUGGAUUUAAUGAUUUGUUGUUAAUUUAGUUGUUUUAUAUGUUUAGUUGUGUUUGUGCAUUGUAUUUUAAGUAUUGAAUGAUGUAUUGUAAUAAAAUUUUACGAUUUGGUUUCAUUAGGCCAAAUCUAUAUUGUUAUGAAAGAAGAUUAGCAAGAAACACAAUAAUUCUAUACGGCAGCAUAAUGAUUUUCUGAUUAAUGACCAUAACUAAUUACACUACUUUUCUGUGAGAUUUAAAAAGAAUUGAAUGCAUAAAUGUUUGAAUAACAGAACUCGGGUAAAACCAAAGCUUUGGAAAAAUCACUAUCAACAACUACUUUCAAAGCUAUUUUUUGUAUUCUUUUUCUUUGUAAAAUAUAAGCUAGCACUUAUUUUUGUGACAUUUUUCUAAAAAGUGUUUGGCCUAACUUUUGUUUCAAUGGAGAUAAAAAAAACUUAAAUAAAGCACGGCAAAACAUAUUUAAGUUGAAGUAUUGAAAUUUAAUUUCAAUAAUUUAGAUUAGAAAAAUGAGUUUUUUUUUUUUUUUUGUGAUCUAUGAAUCCAACCCAACACAAUUUGUUUGUGACCAUGUUAGUUUGGUUUGAAUUUGAUGUAAAAAUUGUAGGUUGAGAAUAAAAUGGAACUAUUCAAGUAUUGGAUUUGGUUAAAAUGGAACCAAACCAACCAAUGUACAAAGGUUCAACUAGAGAAGAUUAUUUUGUGGUUUUAGCAUUUUCUUUUUUAUCUAGUUCACCAAAUUGUGAGUUUUUGCAUAUUUCUUUGGAUGGAUAACACUAAAUAAGUAGAUAUGAAACUGCACCAAAAUUUUGCCCAUAAAUAGAGUGUGCAAAUGGUAAACAAGAAGCGGUUAAUUAUUGUUGAGUGUGUUCUUCAUGAUUUAUAGAACAAAUGUAACAUUUAAUAUCAGUAGAAUGUAAUUUAUCACUCUAGAGGACUCAUGUUUCAUUUCAAUCUUGUUGAAAGUUAAGAGAUGUAGCAUUUCUCAUAUAACUUCAAUGGAAUAUGAAAAAAAGAUACAACUUCAAUAGAAUAAAGUCAUAUAGACAAGUAAGUGCCGUAGAAAAAAUUAACACCAUUUUGAUUUUUUUGAAAAAUUGACACCAUAUUGAAAGAAUCACACGUUUUUUGUAUUAAUGCGGGGAAAAUACUGUGCCUUGUUACAAUAAUAAUAACACACAACAAGCUGAAAUAUGUUGCUACAGGCAACAAUACUACAAAUAAAAUAAAGUAAAAAUAAUAAGAAACUAAUACACUUGGAUCUUUGUUAAAAGACCAAGAAAGUUAUUAAUAUUUAAGAAUGGAAGUUAAUUGACUAUUGAAUCUUCUGCUUUAUCUUCAAAUAGUUUCUUUGCAGCUUUAGUGAACAAGUUAUGUGCCUGCCAAAAAGUAAUUACUAAGUUAUAAUUUUGUUCACAUUUUUAAAACUAAACUUUCAAUUAGUACUACUUAUUAUACCUGCUUCAAAGAGAGACCAAUCUUCUCCAAGUCACUUAACUGCAAAACGCCAAAAUCAUUUAAAGCAUCAUGAUGAACUCGUUGUAUUUGUCUUACAAUUUACAAAUUACAGUACUAACCGAUUUUAUUGGACUUUCUUCUCUGAGGUCUAUUAUGUAUUCUGCCAUUUUCUCUCCUAUACCCUGAAGGAAUAAAAUGAUUGAAUCCCAAAAAAUUAUAAAAUGAAGAAAAAAUAUGAUAUGUUCUAAUUUGAGAAAGUGUGUUAUGCUUUCAUUUUUUAACUGUUUAUUAUAAAUUGUAUUGUUGUUUUCACUUUACUUUCUAUUUUCAAAUAUCUCUAUUUUCAAAUAUCUGUUGUAUAAGAGAUAUCUGAAAAUAAGAAGUUGUUUUGUAAUUAAAAGUGAAAACAAAAGAUAAAAAUAGAAAAUAUGUUCUCGAAUCAAAACAAAACCUAAAGAAUGGUUACUAUAUGAUAAAGAGACUAUUCAUGAAUGUACCUUUAACUCUAGUAGUUCCUCUCUGCAUUUAAGAAUUAAACACUGUUAAGGCACCUUAAAAUAAUCUUCACUAAUUAUGCUUUAGAAAUUAGGCAAAAAUACAAAGGGAGAGUGUUUGCUUUACCUGCUUGCAUUAUUUAACAAUUGAAUGUAUUCUUGAACUAGACAUUUCUGCAUAUUAAAAAUAUUGAUUGUGUGAGAAAGAAGAUUUAUAAAGUCCAUUUUGUUAGUGGAAUUCAAACAACUAAUAUGUUUAUUAAAACAAAAAUAAGGUUUAAAUAUUUGUUUACGAUCAAAUUGAUCUCUGUAAUAUGAAAAUCAUUUGUUUUAGUGUCCCUCCAAUAUGAGGUACAUAAGAACUAAAAUGAAUAUUACACAUAUUAUAGAGGCCAAUUUCAAUAUAAACAAAUUUAAACCUAAAAAUAAAACAACUAGAUAUACCUUCAAUGUGGAACUUCUUGUACUGAAUUUGUCAAGUGGAGUGCCAUUUUUCUCAAACCCUUUAUUAGUGGAGCAGGUUGCAGAAAAAGGUGUUGGUGUUAAAGACAAAGCUUCAAGGGGCUUUUUGUUACCAUUGAUGUUGAUGGGGGAGAGGGCUUUUCUUAAUGGACUUUGUAGUACUGCAUCUUUAGAUAGCACAGUUACAUUAGCUUCUAUUAAGCUAUAUAGCACCGACAUUUCCUAUCAUAUCAAAGGUGCAACACGACACAUGUAGUUACAUUAGCUUCUAUCGAGCUAUGUGGCACCAAUGAAUCAGUGUCAUGUCAGUGUUUCAUAGCUACUGAGUAAUAAUCAAUGUGACAUAUCAAAUAUCUAAAACUUCCCUAUUAUAUCGGAAUCUAAAUUGCUUGUGAUCGCAAUACCACACAUUCAUCACAAUCAGUAAAUCAAAGCUAUUGGAUGAAGAUCAAACAAUUCAUAUUUUAAGCUCAUUACAUCUGAAUUUAAAAGCAACUUGAAAUAUGAGUUGUUUGAUCUUUAUCCAACUGUUCCAGUUGACUGGCUAAGGUAAAUGUGAUGUGAUAUUUCAACUGCUAGGAAUCCAUUUGCAUUAUAAUAUCGAAUAAAUGUAAAGUUUAGGAAUCAGUAAUCACAUGAAGUAGUGACAUACCAGAUAGAUUUUUAUCUGAUUCCGAUGCAGCCUCAUGCUCAGUCUCUCUCUCAUCAUUGUGCUUAACACCAGAAUGCAGGUUCUGUAUAGCAUUACAUAUUAAAUAUUAUUAUAUUUAAGAUUUAAGAAAAAUACAAAUAUUUACAAUGCAUGGUGAAAAAUAUAAUAUUCAUAAAGACAAGAACAGUUCCUUGUACUUUUGAUACUGCAUGUCUUUUUCAAUAUUAGUGGCAUAGUACUUGUUAUUAGUGAACUUGUUAGUACAUGUACUUCAAUGGUUAACAUUCACUUACCUCAUCAUCCUUGCAAGAGUCAAAAGCAACUUCACCAUCUAGUAAAUUUCUAAAAUCAACAGCAAGGGCCCUACUUACACAAAAUAAGACAAAUAUCAGUAACAGAAAGUCAAUGAAAAAAAUCAUAUACUCCAUAAUUUUAUAUGCAAGAAUAGGACGUCUAGUUACCUUUCCAUAGUGUGUUGAGCAUCUUGGUUGAUGAAAGUUGUUCCCCCUUUCACUGAAUUGUUGAAAUUAACCGAUCUUUUUGCAAAGGGAAUGAUGGAACUAGGAGUUUUUUUCACAAGUGGAGAAUUAAAUACUCCAAGUCUUUGUGAGCUCUUUGUCUUGCCUUUUGAUUCUAGCCAUGCUCUCAAUUUUGCUUCCAUGUCAACUUUAACUUUUGGAGUCUCUUGUUUAUGAGCUGAAGGUACAAAAUUAGAGAUGUGCCGUGAUCUAGCAGCCAAACUAACAGUAUGAACAGAUUCCUGGUAUUCUCCUGGAUUCUGAAAUCAAACAAAAAGGGCUGCAAUUAAACACUUGUUGAGAGUCUCAUAUCAGCUAGAGCUAUGACAAGGAUAAUGCUCAUACGCCUUGAACAUCCCCGCUUUGUAAGUUGGUUUUACGAAAUUGAAGUAGGCCCUAAUUCCAAAUUCUAAGAUAUGGAAUCAUAGUAUAUCAAGAUCAGUUAUUGGAUCUAGAUAUUUGCUAUUCCACCUACAUUUGUCCACUUCUAAGUCUAAUGCGGGUGGAAUAGCAAAAAUCUCAACACUAAUCAUAAUUAAUUAAUAGGUGAAGUAAACUAAGAUGCAAUUUUCUUGCUCACUCCAAUGGUUAAACACUAAUCAUUCUUGUUAUUAUGUAUUUCCGAUCAAGUGGACCAACAUUAAAUGUGAAGAAAAGAACUAUAAAAUCUCUAGUUAUACCAGGCAAGCAACCAUAAGUGCGCGACUAGUUCCUCCUAGAGAGUCCUGCAAUAUUCGGGUCAAUUUGCUUUCUCUAUAGGGCACUCUUGGUUUGUGGUUGUUCAAUGCAUAUAUCACAUUUGACAGUGCAAACAAGGACUGGUUUAUCUUGGCACUCUCUUGAAGACGAAUCCCUUCACUGCAGCUCCUUCUGUUGUCUUCAUUACCUGCAUCAACUUUCAACACAUUAGUAUAAAUAACCAUAAGUGCUCGCAAUACAUCAAGGUCUGUUUGGGUUGACUUAUUUGCAUAAGGUCUUGUACAACUUAUUUGGACGAGCUUAAUGAAACAACUUAUGAUAUGUCCAUAAGCUAUAUAUAGCUUGUUUUCAAAUUCUUCGGAAUAGCUUAUGAAAAUAACUUAUAGCUUAUAUGAAAAAAAAUUAACUUAAUUUUAAUAUUUUGUUAUAGAAAUAGCUUAUACAUCAGCAUUUAUAUGAUAAGUGCUUGUGUAAUAAGCGUUUGAUUAACUUAUUUAUCCAAACAGACCGCAAAUCCAUGACCCCAAUUGAGUUUGGAAGGUUACCUGCCAAGUCUAUGAGAUUCAACUUUCCACAUACAUGACUUCCAGUUCCAUCAGAAGGAUUGGAUACUACAGAUAUUACAAGCACUCCAUGACUCCUACUCGAUACAUCGUUGAGGCUUGUGUGUGCAACUUUGCGCCUCUGAACACCACUAGAAAAAACCUCUUGAAAUUCAGACAUUGUGUUUAUAGGAACCUUAGAUAGUCCCUUGAGGUGAAUUUGACCGUCUUUGUCAUCCAAAAUUGAAAUCUCCUUUGCUUUUACCUCUAAGAGAUCAUAACAUCGGUCCAUGUAGACCUCAUAGUAUGAAAUAUGUGCUGUGCUGCCUGUAGUUUGACAAAUGGACAGGAUCAUCGACAUUGCCAGUGGCAUUAAGCCAGGUUGUUCCUCAGUUCCCUGCAACACCAAGCAUUGGUUACUUAAACUACACAACACAAAAAAGGUAAGAAACUUACUAAAACAAUUAAACUGGUACACAAAAAUUAUCAACCAAGCCAAAGCAAUAGCACUAUGUGAAUGGCCAACCAAAUAUACAAUGUCUUCCGCAUUUAAAUUCCGAAACAGCAAUAGAAUUAGGACACCAUCACUUUCAGCUGCUAUGUACAGAAUUCAGCGCUCCAUUGUUUUCUCAAACAUGGUCUAGUGUAUUCCCAAGCACUCCAAUGGCGCUAUACACCAUUGAUCAAAAACACAAUUAAACCCCUUGAUUUUGGCCUUUAACCGGCUCCAAACCUAUAACUUUAUGUUCUCCACCACAUGAAAAAUAUUGUCGAAACAAUUUUGCAUUUCUUAACUUCCAACCAAACCUCCCAAACAGUUGCAAACCAGAGAAAUGAAAACCUUUAUUCAUUCAACCUCCAAGAAUUCAAAAUGGUGGAAUGGCAUGGCUAAAUUUUGGACAACCAACAUAGACAGUUUGUGAAGGAAUGUCCACCAUGGCAGCACGGUGCCAUAGGCCACUGGUGUGUUUAAAUGGCAGAUUUUUGUCCUUUCACUAAUUUUUCUGCGAACGACAACUAAUCCUCAUUUUUGCUAGUAUGAGUCAAGCUUUACUAUCUCCUUCGUCCCUACAUAUAAGACUUUCUUGAGAAAUUUCUUUGUCCCUUCUUAUAACAUCCUCUUUUAAUUUUCAACUACAUUAAUUACUCUUUUUACUAAUCUACCCCUAAUUAAUUUACAUAUUUUUCUGCAAUUAACAAUAAAUACCACAAUGAAAGCAUUGAUUAAUUCUCUCUCUUGAAGGGUAAAUUUGUAAAAACAAUAUCAAUCGUUGACAAAUGUAAUACUAUCAUCAACUUUCUUAAUUCUCGAGAUUUGAUCAAUGGCUCCUACCAGAGGUAGUAUUACACUAGAUGAGAUUCAAUUUAUGAAUGGUGACAUAGUUCCCUAUCCUACAACAUAUAUUAAGUGCAAAAAUGAGUCGUUUACCUCUAAAUCCCUCUUAAAAAGGUAGAGUAUUCAAAGAUAACAAUAAUCUAUGUCAUUGUUAAACAUGAAAAAGUGUAUUAUUCCUCACCACCCUCUAAACUCACAUUCACAACCAGAUACUACAAAUUUGAUCAAUCUAAUUGUGGAUUCACAUUGCUGAACCCUCACAUAACCACAUACUCCCUCCGGAAUGAAAUAUAAACAAAAAUGAUAACUGAAAACUUGAUGUAUCUAUUUCAUUCUAGAGGGAGUAAUUCAACUUUUCGGUAAACAUUAUUGUAUAUAUUUCAUUCUAGAGUAAUUGUUUCUUGCUAGGAGCUAACUCAGAAAAAUAUUAUCAGGAACAUAUAAAAAGAUUAACAUUUUACAAAAGAAUAGCAUAGAGAUCACAGUUUCUGACCUGCAUAGUGUAUGUCUUGCCACUACCAGUAGCCCCAUAAGCAAAAACUGUAGCAUUGCAGCCACUGAAGAUAACAGGUAUCAUAGGGUUUACUUCUCUGUAAAAUAUCUUACUCACAUUGUUGUCUUCUUUAUCAAAGAAAGAGUCCAAUUGAUAACACUCGUUACGACUAAGAUAACAAAAAAAACCAUCAUCAAAACCAAUUUCAAAGACUCUACUAAUCAUUCAAAAUAAUAAUAAAAAAGUGAAAUUUUUUUAAACCUGGUUUGUGGGUCUUUGAGAUAAACCGCUACUUCUUGAUGUUGAGAUUCAAAAUCUUGAUCCAAAAGUGAAAUACAAGAAACUGGGUCGCCAUUAUCGUGACCAAGAAAGGGUCUUACCCUAACUAUGACUCUUACUUUUGAAACUGAAAUGGAAUUGUUAAAGAGUUUGUUUUCGGUUUUUGGAGAAGCAGCCAUUGAUAGAAGAAAGUUUGGAUUUGUAAGACAGGUUGACGAGAAUUGUAUAAGAUUUGUGAAAUUGAGAUUGAAUAGAGGUUUUUGAAAGCACGUGACCGUUGGUUUUGCUUUGGAUUGAGAGGCACUUUUGGUUUGAAUUUGGGUACGUGAGCUAUAUGCUAUCGACAUGGCACCUUAAAGGGACCCACAAAUUUAUGAAAAGUGAAAAUAUUCUAUUGGUCAACUAUUUUUAACGUUUUAUUUUAUUUUUUAUUUUUUUGGUAAUCCUGUCUUAAUAUAGAAUGAAAUUUUGUCUUUAAAAUACUAAUACAAAUCAAAUACAUCAAAGAUAAUAUAAAUAAAUCAUUUUCAAUAUAAAGGUUACCUCUUUUAUUUUCUUAAAUAAUGUGUUAAAAGUUCUAGUCACUGCUUUUUAUUUUACGUAUAAAAUAUUCUCCAAAUAAAAUGGCAUAAUAUAGUAUGAUACCACAUUUGUUUAAUUAGACAUUUGUAUUUUGGCAAGAAAUGUAGAAAUAAAAGUUAAAACCCAUUAGAACAUACACCACAACAAUUAUGGGAUUUGUGAAGGCUGAUUGUGGGUCGUAUAUAAUUAAAACAUUUAUUUAUAUAUGACAUAUUAAUUAUUAAUUGAAGUAAAAAACUACACUGUUGAAUCAUUGAAAUUAGAAUAUUAAAGUCAUAGUUUUUCUAAUUAGUUAAGAUUGAUCCGUUGAAUCAUUGAAAUUAGAAAUUUGUAACUCAUAAGUAGUCUAAUUAGGUUAAAAUGAAGAGUUGAAUUUUUAAAAUUAGAACUUCUAAAUCAUGUUUAGUCUAAAUAAAUAAGAUUGAAUCGUUGGAUCAUCGAAAUUUAAAUUUCUAUGUUAUAAUCAAUCUAAUUAGUUAAGAUUUAACUAUUGGGUUAAGAAAAUUUAAAAUCUUAAGUCAUAGUCAAUCUAAUUAGUGAAACUUGACUCGUAGGAUCAUCGAAUUUAAACUAAAUAUAAUUUAAAAAUUCUAUUUUCGAUGAAAUGUCAAUUCAACCUUCAAUAAUUUGAGAGGAGAAUUGUAACACCCCAACUUUUAUAAUAAACUAUUUUAUUAAUUAAAUAUUAUUUUAGAUAAUUAAUCUGAUGUUAAAAUUAUUUUAGAUAUACGUUGAUUAGUUUUAUGAUUCAUUUUUUUUAUAUGUGUGUUUUCUAUAACGUAUUAAUCUGUACAUAUUUGACUAUAUGAGUGAUAUAAAUAAUAAAUAUUUUAUUUUAUUAUUUUAUUAUUUUAUAUAUUUUUCUAAAAUUGAUAGUAUUUUAGUGUAAAUAUUUUAAAGAAUAACAUGUUAGACAAUUUUACGUGUAUAUGUGAGUUGGUAAUUAAUGUGAUAUUUUCUUAUAUGUUUAACUAAUGUUAAGUGUGCACAUAUUUAUAUUUUAUAUACGUGUUAUGACAUUGUAAUUUUAUAUAUACUACAAAAAAAUUGACUUAACGUGACACACAAAAUGUGUCACUAAAAGUUUAAAAUUGUAGGUAAAAAUCAAUAAUACUUUGAGUGACACUCAAAUCCAGUGUCAACUUUAAGGGGUGCCCUGCUACACUUUUAGGACUGUCACUACAUGUUCUGAGGAUUGUCACUACAUGUUUUUUAUUUCUAUCUACAACAAUGAUUGUCACUAAAACCUAGAUAAAUAUAAAUAAAGAAUUAGUCUAUUCCUACAGUAUUAUCUGUCACUAAAACUUAGAAAAAUAUAAAUAAAAAAUUAACCUAUUCCUAUAGUAUGUGUGUCACUAAACCUUAUUAUUAUUUAUUUUAUUUUAUCUCCUUACUAAUUGUAAUUUUACACUGAUAUAAGUCAAAACUUAUCACAUUACCAGAUAUACUCUCAAGUUGAAAAGCAAAUAAUGCAUACAAAUGUGUAUAACUAUAAAAUUAAGAAAAUAAUAACAAGUAUUUUUAGAGCACUUGUUAAAUAAUAAUAAAAAGAAAUAUAAAUAAAAAUUGUGCCUUCAAUACCUUGAAAAUAAAAAAAGUAGUAUUUUUUUACCAAAAAAAAAAACUAUUUUCUUUUUUUAUUCCUUAACAAAUAUCAGUACCAUGACAUAAAGUUAUUGGUGGGUAUAAGAAAAUAAAAACUGCAUCAAGUAAACCUAUAAUUGAAUUCAAAAUGAUAAGCAUGCUUCACUUUUAGAUGCCCAAACUGAAUUAGUUUUAGUCAGAACCAAAUGAUACAUUUCAAGCAAUAUCUUAAGCUGGCAUUAAAGACCUCUAAAAUUAAUACCUGCCAUGGCUUGCCAAACUCAUCCAAAGCUUCCCUGAGCUCAUUUUUAGCCUUCUCCCACAUUACAAGAUCUUUAAAGAUUUUCUCUGGCCUCUACUCAAGUAUUUAACACAAGCAAGGAUAAAUAAAUAACUGAGCCAUUAAAUAGAUUAUAGCUAUUGCUAUUGGCAAUAUGUAUGUCUGUAUCAUAUACCAAAAGAGAAGAAAAUAACAAGAGCAGAAGCUACCAAGCUUAGACAAUGGUCAAUAUUCCCUAAACUAUUCAAUACUUCCAAGUGAUGGACAUUGAGAACAAUAAAGAGUAAAAGCAUAUUGUUGAAAGUUUCACUUCAUAUGUGAAACCAAAUAUUUGAUAGACAUAAUUCAUGAAGUUCAAGGCUUUUAUGACUUCAUCUUUUAUCUAUAAAAUGAAGUGAAACAAUAAUUUCAGCUUCAGCUCAGAAGAUAUUUUAAAGAUUUAUAUCACAUAAAUUUACGUUUAACACACCUGGGACUUCCUACAGAAAAUAUGUGCAUCGUCCUGUCAAACACACAAAAUAAAGGUCAUAAAUAAUAUAGAACUUCUAAUAUUAUAGAAAAUAGAAAUUAAGGAAGGCGAUAAUCAAGUCACUAGCUUGCAAUGCUCCUCGUGGUGUAAUUGUACCACACCUUUAGAAAAAUUGAUAAUUAAUCCAUGUCAUUUUACUUUUGUAUAAGUGAACAUUCAUCGAGGAACUCCAUAAUUUACAAUAGAAGCCAAAAUGGCAAUGUAACCAAGAUCAAACAAAGAAAACAGAUCCCAUUCCACAGUCCCACCAAAACUUAUAUUGUGUUGUUCAUAUAUAUAGCACAAGAGAAAGGUUUACCUGUUGAAAUCUCCUAGUAUGUGUUAAUCCAUGCAGGGAAGCAAUGGCCUCAUUCCGAUGCAAAACGCCAAAAUCAGCGAAGCGAAGAGGAAGUUCUGUAAAGCAAUAAAAAUAUUAUGAGAUAACAUUUCGGGUGAAAAUAUCCAUUGAUAUAUCUUCAGAUUAUACACUCACUCACAAAAUGGAAACUAAAGUAUCUCUACCUCUCAUAUGUUAGGAACCCCAUAAUUGAAUUGAAAAGAAUGAACAAUUAUAUUGAAAGAUUGAGAAAGGAUAAAAGAGAAUAGGAGAGAAAUCUCUCCUCUGAGAGUUUUCUCUUAACAAUAGAGUCAAUACUCUAUUCACAAAUGAUUACAAUAUUCAAUGAUACCCCUCUCUAUCAUUGUAUUCUCCUAUAAAUACAAAUACUUCCCAGACUAAACAAACAACUAACUAACGAACUACCUUCCUAACUAAUUCUCCCUAUUCAACUUGGGAUAUAGAUGAUCGAGUUCUAUAUGCCAAAAUGAAANNNNNNNNNNNNNNNNNNNNNNNNNNNNNNNNNNNNNNNNNUAUUCACAAAUGAUUACAAUAUUCAAUGAUACCCCUCUCUAUCAUUGUAUUCUCCUAUAAAUACAAAUACUUCCCAGACUAAACAAACAACUAACUAACGAACUACCUUCCUAACUAAUUCUCCCUAUUCAACUUGGGAUAUAGAUGAUCGAGUUCUAUAUGCCAAAAUGAAACUAUGUGGAAAAAGUACAGCUUAUAAAGAAAGCAAAAAGAAAGACGAAGCCAUUUAAAAUCACACUAUACAGGCAUUGUUCAAUGUAGACAUUUAAAAUCAAAUUAAUUGUCAAUACAUUGACCAAAAAGCUCAAACAGGUGCAUUAUCCCGAUUUCAACAACAAACUAUGAACUAGCUCAGCCACCCCAAGUACAAACAAAUACAAAAGGUACCAUUUGAAGAAAUAUGUCUAUGCCAAUGAAAAUUACCUCUGUACGAUCGAACCCUGUGCUAAACAUCAAGCAGUGCCCUGGGCAAUUCAUUGGUUUCAAACCAAACUCCUGUUUGUCAAUCUAAAACAUACGAAUAUAUAUAUAUAUAAUUUGGUUAGAUAACUUGAUUGCGUUUAAAAUAAAAAAACCUAUUCUGAAGGUUUUGUACCGCUAAGACCAUAUACAAACAACAACAAAAUACCUCUAAGACAAACAUAUCCUCUUUAUGAUGUUUUGCAUGACCAGAUUGCAUCCACAGAUCCAUGUUGAAUACAUUUGGGGACAUAACCUGGUAAUUUCAAGCAAGUUGUACUAAGCACUUGGAAAAAGAUUGUUUUUAGUAAUAUCAAGAAACUUCUAUACUGAAACUUUACCUCUUGAUAGCCCCUAUCCUUGUAUUGAUUUCAAAUGAAGUCCAUGAGUUAGUUGUAGAUCCGAGCAUCAAGUGGAAGAAAAAACCAGCUUCCUGGGAUGACAUAAACAGGACAGACCAAGAGAUAGACAUUAAGAACGGCUUACUAAAUUCUGCAAUCAGACAAGAAUGAACCCACCACUGUACCUACACUCAUGAUGAAUAAUAAGUUCAAAAUUGUAAAAUAUUCCCAAAAAAUUCUAGAAAGUGGCUGUCGAAGAGCAUGACAGAUUUCUCUGUUAUCCUUAGUGUAUAACCUAAAGCCCAUAUCAGUAUUAUUUUUAAACAUGUAAAACAAAAAUUUAAUAACUAAUAGAUUCCUAGUUUAAUCAAGUCAUCACACCACUUGCUUAAUUCACAAUUUAAUUAAGUCUCUAGACAUAGGAUUACCUAGUACACAUUUCACUUGCAUCUUUAUACUAUAAUUCACACCAAUUAAUAAAGAUAAAUAGAAAAACCAGCAAUACUGUAUGCAAUAAAUUCACAAUAUAACUAGUAGGAAACUUCUAACUCAAUAAUAGCACAAAAGCAUCUUGAUUGAGCUAACAAUUCAAAUACGACAGAAAAUAUAAAUAAUCAAAUAGUAUCAAAAUUAUAGGAUCCAACCUCAGGUGCCAGAUAGCAGAGUCUUAUGUAACCCAUGUCAAAGAAAAGAGAGAAAUCAGAUGGGACAUCAUACGGAAUGUAAGUGGGUUUGAAAGAGGCAAAGUCAACAAGGUAAAGCUAUUUUGAUGACGUAAUUAGCACAUUUUCACACUUGAUAUCGCCUACAAAAAAUAAUGCAAAAAUUUACAUAAAUAACAUCAACGAAAUGCCAAUCAACCCAUGAUAUGAGAAAAUACCAUCAGCAACUAAUAGAUCAUUCUCCAUUAUAUUAUCUCUUCUCUAAUUGUGCAUGUCUUUUAAAGCUUACGUAUCAAUCAAAUUAAGACUUACCAUGACACACUCCCUUCUCAUGGCUAUGUUUUACAGCUAAAAGCAAUUGUGUAAAAGCCCAAACUAAAUAAAAAAGUCAAUAAAAAUACAAAACUUCCAUAUGCAAAAAAAAAAAAAAAAAUGAAGUAGUAAAGUGAAUAAGACCUGAAAAGCCAAUCAUUUCUUCUAAACGAAACUAAGAAAAGGCCGAGUACUUAAUCGAUCAUGCAAAUUAUGGAAGAAAAGGUUCUAUGAAGAUAAGUUGCUUUAUUUGUUUUUUGCCAAAACUGCAAAAUCACAUGCACAACCACAUGAGCAAUUUAAAGUAGAUGAAAAAAACAAUAAAAUCUAAAUAAAAUAAAAAUAGAGAGCAGAUCAUCAUAGAACCUUUUCAGUAACCAAAUAUAGUAAUCGUAUAUUCCCGCAAACUAUAUAGAACAUCAUGUCUUUCGAAUUACCACGAGAAUAUAAACUACAUAGAACCACAUUUGCAUAAAUAAACAUGUAUGUAAUAUAUCUACUUUAUAAUUUUUCUUUUGGUAAAGUAUAGGUACCUUGUAAAAAAAAUCAUGUGAAUCCAACAAAUCCCGAAAAAAUCGCAAAAAGUGAGGCUUCUUAUAAGGUCUAUGUUCUAGAGAAUUCACUUCUGUCCAACUUACAUAUUUGUGCAAUGUGCUAUGGUGCUGCUACAUGACACAAUUAAUAACCAGAUCAAACAAAUUUGAGCUUAUCCAAAGUUAUCCAAUCAUCUCGACAUAUUCAGUUCCACAAUACUAGACUCUUGUCUCAGACAUAAAUAACCAUAAAGGCAACAGCUGAAUUCUCCCCUCAGUUUAAUUUUAGAAGGUUUCAAUUUUGACUUCCAUUGUAUAACUCCUUGACAUUAUCAAUUAGAUUAUGCUAUCAAGUUCCUAAUUAAAUAAUAAACAGAGUAUUAAAUUUUAUAAUUAUUUAAAGAAAGUAUUUGUGUUGACCACAUUUAAAAGCAGUGCUUUAUACUUUUGUUUCCUUAACCAAUACUUCAAAGGCACUCUUUAGCAAAUCUCAAAAUCAAUUUUUUUCUAUAUUGACAAUGAGAUUUGAACCAAUGACAUCAUGCAAACUACUGAAACUUUUUCGCCACUAGCUCAAUUCUUGUUUGAUCAUGUUAAUUUACUAUCAUGCAUUUCUGCAUCAUUAAAAAAAAUUGACUAUCAAAACACAGUCUAGGAAAAUCCUACUCAGUUGGUGAAUUAAGGAACACGGAAAGAGUUGUAACUAAAAGUUCAAACACCAAAAACUAACAUAACUACUAACUUACAUUUACCUAUCAAAAACAAUAUUCUUUUAAUGAUGUGCAAACAUAUGAUUUGAGGUUAAUUGAAGAUUACAAUUUGAACACUUCAUAAAUAAAAUGCCAGCCAAAUAAAGAACCGAGUGAUAGCUAGGAAAAAUCCGUGUGAUUUGUUUGAUCAUAACUAAUAUAAAGUGUGAUUUCUUUUAUAGUUUCAACUAUUCUCUAAUGAUAGUAAAUUUUAAUUUGAGUAUUUUGAAAAAUAAGUGUUAUUAUAGUGAUAAUUUUGAAUAUAAGAGUUUUGAUUAUGAAUAUAUUUUAUAAGAUUAAUUACUUUAUUUUAUAAAGUAUUAGUUUUGAAAUACUAAUAAUUAAAUUGUGUUUAAAAAAAAAGUGUUAAAAAAUAAAUGUGUUUCAUGGUUUAAGCACAUAUGCAAGUAAAAUCUAAUUAAAUAAUAACAAUAAUAAUAAUAAUAAUAAGGCUAAAUUACAUAUGUGGUCCCUUAACUUAAUUUCAGGUAACGUAUUAGUCCUUUAUCUUUUUUUUUUCCCGACUUGGUCCUUUAUUUUAAUUUUAAGUGAUAAUUUGAUAUUUUAUGUUUUAAAAUUUCAACAAUGUUAUCCUUUUUUUAUACAAAAUUCAAAAAAAAAUUCAAACAAAACUCAUAAAAUUAAUUAUAUUCUUCAAUAUAAUACAAAUUUCAUCAAAUUCGUAAUGCAAAUCUUCAAAUAAACUCAUAUUUUCAUACUUUAUUUGAUAUUGUUAGGAAUAAAGGACUAAAUCGUGGAAAAAAAAGAUAAAGGACUAAAACGUUAACUGAAAUUAAGUUAAGGGACCACAGAUGAUAUUUAGCCUAAUAAUAAUAAGGAAGGAUAGUGGAGGAGUGUAGCAGCCGCCUAAAGAAGAGGAAACAUAGACUAUGACUAUCGUUUGACAUCAAUGAUGAUAAUUGUUCCAAACAUCUUUCUCUAUUUUUGUCCAAAUUCCAGUAAAUUGAUUCACUUAUUUAGUUAAUCAAUUAAACAUACUUUUCCAAAUUUUCAACCAUCUCAAUUUCUCUCUAAAAUACUCGAUUUUUCCGUAUGUGGAAUUCGUUAUUUUGCACUGUUCUUCUUCACUAUAAGUCCGAUUUAAGUGAAAUCAACGUCAAAACGAACAUGUGAAAAGUGGCUAUAUUAUUCACCGAUUGAUUUUCUGAUUUAUGGUAAGUUUACUUGACCGAAUUUCGAAAUUAGUUUUUAGAGUGUCUUCUCAUGAUUUAUUUUUGACAUUUACCCAUAAGUUGUCGAGUUAGAUCGAUUGAAUGACAAAGAGUCAAAGAACAAAGGUUGUUUACUCGUUGAAUGUAUUCGUGUGUGAAAGUGUUAAAAUAAGGUAAGGGAUGAGAGAGCGUUUAAAUUCAUGAGUAUAUUUUAAUGUUAAAUGAAUAGAAAAGUCGUAUUUCUCAACGUUUCAUCUGAAGCUUGCUACGUACGACAUUAGCCUUUGAAGGAUAAAUUAAUUAAUGUGAAAAUAUGAAAACUGUGAGAUUAAAAUGUGGAAUAGAAAUAUUUAUAAGGUGUUGAUUGAUUUAAUUUUAGAUAAUUGUGUGGUAUUUAAUAUUUGAUAUUAUUGUAAUGUUGGAUGUCGAAUGAGAUGAUGUGCAUAUGUUUGAUUAGACAAAAUUAUGUGAUGUGAUGAUAAAAGAUGGAUGCAUUGGAUGAUAUAUAUUUAUAUGAUGAUUUUUGAUUGACGAUAGUGAUGUUAUAAAUUGGUGAUGAGUUUAUAUGAUGAUCAUGAUUAUGUAUGAUCAAUGAUGUUAUAAAAUUGUAAUGAGAAUAUUGAAGUACCAAAUAACUGAUGAAAUAGUGAUGAUUACAACAUGUGCUAAAGAUGUCACUCUUAAUGGAAUAGUCUAGGCUAACGAGAGGAGAAAAUAGAUGUUGGGAAUAUUUGAAGUUGAUGUGAAAUUUUCAAGUGGAUACUAUUUUGUCAUCAUAUAGGUAGGGUCUGACAAAUCUAGUGAUUAUGGGGAAGUACAAUUGAAUGGGUUUGAUCAUGGCAGUUUGCUAUUGAGCCUUAAGAAAGCAUUGUUAGACCUUGGAGGUAUUCGGGUGGGAAAUUCCUAGGUGACUUGGAAGUAGCACUCCAAAUGUCGGGAACUACCAUGCAACACACGUUUAUCUUAAUUGUCGCGCAUAUGUGUCUCAGGUUGAGUUAAGGGGAUCUAUGAGGACAUAGUCAAUUUGAAUUGUUCGUCCACCCGAGUGGUUGCAUAGUAUCAAUCCUCCUAACCAAGUACUUCAGAGAUAGAAUUGUACCACAUUGUGAAGUAGAGUUUAAGCUCAUGCAUGACAUUGCAUUUCCUUGUGAUUGUUUUGUUGUGAUUGAUGUGUUUCAAAAGUAAUAAUAGUUUCUCUUAGAUGAUUUGAUGCAUAUUAUAAUGAAAUGAUUAUUUUACUUGAGUGACUUUGAUGUUAUAAUAUGGUACUAUUUGAUUGAAUAUUUUGAUAUAUCUUAAUGUGAUUAUGAUACAGUCUAUUAUGAUUUUUGCGUGCUCUUUAUACUUAUAUUAUACUAUUAACAUGAUUUCAAAACUCACCUCAUUCGUUGUUUGUGUUUGACUGACUUGGCUCUGUGUUUGCAAAAUCUCAGUUGUUACAAGUUAAUGAGUCUUUAAGUUCAAGUUUGGGAGAAAUCCUGCUAUGAUAGGUGAUAUCGAGAAUAAAUAUUGUAAUUUGUAUUUUACUUAUUUAAUUUGAAACGACUUUUUGUAUGUAAAUUUUAUAAGUACUAAUAAGUUUUUAGAAUUAAAUUAAGUAAUUAUACCAAAAUCAAGCUUAUUAAGAUUGCACUAUUUUAUAGGAGAAAAAAGUUUAAAGUGUUGCGAUUUUAUUUUGAGAAAUGUGAUAUUCUAAAUUAUCCACAAAAGUUUCAUUUUCCUUUGGAAGAAUUUUUAUUUAUCAGAUUCAAUAUUUUAUAAAGAUAUGGUAGAAAUUAUUAUAUAUAUUAUUUUGGAAUUUUUAUUUUUCAACUGAGUCCGACUGAACCCAAACCAAUGUCCACUCCUAUAAGUAGCAAUAAACAUUCAGAGAAAAACAAUGGUUUAAAAAUCAAACAGGAGAUAAAACUGGUGACAUUGUCAGAUCAUUGGUCUAAUUGGUUUACGCAGUUGAACCAUAAUUGAACUGAAUAAUAAAUAAAAUAAUAAAUAUUACCAUAAUUGAACUGAAUAAUAAAUAAAAUAAUAAAUAUUGUGUUAAAUUUCAUAAAAAGUUAAUGCAAUAUUUUCAUUUUUUUAAAAGAAAUAAAUUUUGUAUUUUAUUGUUUAAUAAAAUGCUAUUAUUGCUUAUAUAAAUUUAUUUAAUAUUUUUUUCACCUGUUAUUUUGGUAUCAAAUACUAUCUGUAUGUGACCAUGAUUCACCUAUUAUUUUAAUAUCUUAUUAGUUACUUUAACUAUAAAUUAAAAUUUAAAAAAUAUGACGGUUUAAUAUUAAUAAAUUAGAUUAAUUAUAACUUAGAAAUUAUAAUUUCAACUAUCCAACGAUUCAAUCUUUACUAAUUAGACUUGUAAACAUGUUUUUGAUGAUGACAAGACCACCAACUAUGGACAAUGCAGCAAGAUCAAAAAGAAGAUCAAACCAUCUUGAAUAAGCUUCCAAAUCCAAAUAAUAAAUGAGUAAAUGUAAAGGUAUAUGAUACAAAUCAAUAGUUCAAAUACUUGAGAACAAUUCAUAUUUAUAUAUGCAUUUAACAUGUUUUCAAAAAUCAAAAACAACAUUAACAAAUCAUUUAAAAUCAUAUUUUUGACAAUUUGCAUAAGUGUAUUCGAAUACACCAUGUUGUAUUCGAAUACAACUUAAGUCAGAAGCAAAACGUUAAAAAGUGUAUUCGACUACACACAUCUGUAGUCGACUACAAGCUAAGUUAGUGGCCAAGUGUAUUCGACUACACCCAUAUGUAGUCGAAUACAAGUUAAGUCAGAGGCUAAAAUACAUUGAUCUGUAUUCGACUACACUGAUGUGUAUUCGAAUACAAGAUGUAAAAUUUGAAUUUUUUGAACGUUACAAAGACGUGUAUUCGAAUACACAUAUACUGUAUUCGAAUACACCUGGAAACAUUACAAUUUUUCAGAUCUGGAAUGCCUCUAGAACAUUGUAAUUUUUCAUCAAACCUUUUGGAUCAAUGGCCACGAAUCUGAAAGGAUGUUUUAUGGAGUAUAAAUACCCAAUAACUUCAGAUCAAAAAUCAACCAUCCUUGAAUUUUUUCAUUAAACAACUUUGAACAAAAUUCUGAUUUUUCUAAGUACUUGCAUUAGAUUUUCAUAUCAUUAGUUCUCAAGUACUUGAAUUACUAUUGAGUUGUUUAUCAAUAUACCACAUCUUAAAUUUAUUCAAACCUUAUUGUAUCAUUUGUACAAGUAAGAUAGUAGUGUGCUAUCUUAGAAGUAUUGUUAGAAAUGUUGUAGCACGAAUCCCAGGGUGGGAAUUGUACAUUUUCUGACAAGUAUUGGAUUAAUCUCUUGUGGUGUGCAAGAGGAUUGGACGUACCCUUGGUUAUAAGGGGAACCAGGAUAAAUCUUAACGUGUUCAUUUACUUACUGCAAUUUUUCAUUAAGCCUUGUUCUUAAACUCAGAAAAUCUGAUUACCAUAUCACUAAAAACAAGAAAAUUUACUAACACCUAAUUCACCCGCCCUCUUAGGCGUACUUUCAUACUUACAAGACUGAUUAUAACUUAUAAAUUAAAAUUUUGACUAUCAAACGACGGUUCAAUUUUAACUAAUUAGACAAAUUAUGACUAUAAAAUUUUAAUUUUGACCAUCAUACCACUCAAACUUAAUUAAUUAUACAAACUAUAACUUUGAAAUUAUUAUUUAUAUGAAUUAACCUAUUUAAAUUGAUAGAGCUUUCCAUAUGUGUAAUUUAGGGUGAAAUUGAUUUUAGUCCUCGUAUUCUAAUUCAAAGUUCUGAAUUUGGAUUUAUAUCUAGCUCUGUUUUUAAAUAAAUAAAUGGAUAUUUUAUUUUUUAUUUGUAUUUUAAAAAUAAUUUUAAUUAUAUCAAAAUUUAUGUGGAUUAAAAAGAUAUUACACACUCCCAAAUUAGCAUGACAUUUCAUUAAAUUUAGAUUUUCAAAAUUCCCUUAAGGAUUAAAAAUGAAGAAUCUAAAUUGACGAGGGUAAAAUCUAAAAAAAAAUAAAUUUUGACUAAAAGCAUUAUUAACUAUUUAAAUUCUAACGAUCAGUUCAAUAUUAACUAAUUAAACUAAAUAUAACUCAUAAAUUUUAUUUUUUUAAUUUUAAUUAUCUAACGACUUAAUCUAACUAUAAUUAGACUAACUAAUUAAAUUAACUAUAACUUGGAGUUAAACCCAUUAAAAAUCAUAACGCCUAAUCAUGCAUUAUAAUAUAGGAAGAGAUUAUUAAAAUAUUGAACAUGUCCCAAUUUUAAGUACUUCUCUCAUAAAGUUGAAAAUGUUAAAAAGUAGUAUUAGUGUUUAAGGUAAAUAGCAUUUAAAGUAUACUAGUAUUAACUUUGCAAGCUUUAAUCAAUUUCUAAGAAGAUGUGUAACUAACAACCAAUUUCUCUCCUUUAGUAUCUUUUAAUUAAUUUUAACAAUAACUUUCAUUUUCCUUCUAGUAUCAUUUUUUACACCAUAUUUGUCUUCUUCAUUUUAUAAUAUUAUGUAUUAUCUACCUCAUUUUCUAGUUUUUUUUUUAAUCUCACGUUUUAACUUUAAAAAAUUCCAUCAACUAAAGGGAAACUAAAUUCAUGGUAAAUUAAUAUAACCAACGCAGAGAAGAGUAAAGAGGUCGAAAGAUAAAGCCACUGCAGGCUGACCACUCCAAGGCGGUACAUAAAUAGGUGUUUUAGUGUCGAUCGGUCUUAGAGGUUAUGCAAUAAGGUGAGAGAGAGACUACAAGAGAGACAAGUGAUGAACUGAAUAAGUAGCAAUAAACAUUCAAAGAAAAAUAAUGUUUUAAAAAUCAAACAGGAGAUCAAAUUUGUGACAUUGUCGAGUCAUGGUCCAAUUGGUUUAAACGGUUGAACCACAGUUGAACUGAAUAAUAAAUAAAAUAAUAAUUAUUGUGUUAAAUUCAUAAAUAGUUAAUGUAAUGUUUUUUUUAAGAAUUAAUUUUGCACUUUAUUGCUUGUAUAAAUUUAUUUAAUAGUUUUUUCACAUAUUAUUUUGAUAUAAAAUACUAUUUGUAUGUAUUAUUGUAUGUGACAUGAUUUAUGAAUGACUUUUUUUUGUUAAAAUAAGUUAUGGUGAGACAUGAUGUAAAAAACAAAUGUGAGACCUUUAUUUAUUUAUUUAUUUAUUUAUUUAUUUAUUUUUCUUCUCGUUUUUUAGAGAUGCUUUUUUUUCAACCUUUUUUUAAUAGCUUAUUGAAUAAGUAUACGGGUCAAGCCAACUGGAACAACCCUAAAUAUCUAUCUAUGUACAACUCACGUAUAUCUACGAGUAGGGGUGGGUAAAGUUUAAUUUUAAAUUAAAAUUGUUUGAAAACUGAAUCAAAUUGAUUUUUAGUUUAAAAAAAUCGAAUCGAAAUGAUUUUCAUUUACUCAUACUCGAACUGAACUUAUUAUUUAAAUCAGUAAAUCGAUUUAUUAUUAUAAACUAAUAUUAACUUAUUUUUACUUGUUAUUAUGUCUUUAUGUGUUAUUAAUAUUUUAAGAUUUUGUUAUUUUUAUUUGCAUUUUAAUUAAAAUUAAAUUAUGAUUCAAUUUGAUUAUAAUUUAAUUCUAAUAUUUAAAAAUCCGAUCAGUUAAAAAACUGAUUUUAAAAUACACUUUGAUUUUUGAGUUCAAAUUUAAUUGAGUUAGAUUUUAUUCUCCACACCAAUUCAGUUUUUUUGGCCGUCCCUAGCCAACUUUAAUUUUUCUUUCAUUCCUUCUCCUUUUUCUUCUUUUUCUUCAAUCUCCAUCUAUCUCUCUAUGUGUGUUUGGUAUUAUUUUAUUCAGACUUAUACUGAAAAUGAUAGGAAAAUAUGAAAUAGAUUGUAGAUAAUUUUGUUUAGGUAAGUUUUGAAUUAUAGAUGUAAGAUUUAUGGGUCACAUAUGUAAUUAAUUAAUAAAGUGUGUUAGGGUCAUUAUAUAAUUAGCCAAUAAACUAGGGGUCAAAUAAUAUAUAAUAGUUUAUGGCUAAAGAGCAUAAUAGUUAUGAAAAUUAAUAGUGUAGAUACCAGACAGUUUCUAAUUUAAUGAGGGGCUGAAUUGGAAAUACUGCAAUUUGAGAUAUAACUAAUAAUAGUUAUAUAUAGGGGUAAUGGUCUCCAAGGCAAACACAACAAGACUAUUCAGUUUCAAAACCCUAAAGGAGAAAAUUCUCUGGUUCUCUCUAUCCCCAUCAAGAGAGCAAGGUCUUCAGGGUGUUUUGCUGAGGAAGAUCACUCAACCCAUUGGCUCUAUCAUCAUCAUCCCAAGAUUUUAUCAAUGGCAAUUCCCACAGGUACGCUUCCGCCCUUGGUUAUUCAUCAUGUAAUUGGCAUGGAUAGUUAACAAGUGGUAUCAGAGCCUACCAUGUUUAAUUCAUGAUGAAAUUCGGUUAUUGUCUUUAUUUUAGGAUUCAAUUUGGGAAUUUUGACAUGAUUGAAAUCUUAGGGUUUGAAAUUUGGGAAUUUGGAUUUUCAAAUUGCAAACUUAUUGUCCAUGUUUAUAAUUCUAGAUUUUUUUUUUUUUUUGCUUGAAUUAUUAUUGUCCACGUACGGAAGGGACAAAAACAUGUCCUAAGUCAAAUCUCGUUUUCGUGUGAAUGCUUUACUGUGUCUUUUUCCUUCGACAAGCCACCUUAAUGAAUUUAAUUAAGGUUAAACCAUAUGGUAAUAACCAAGACUCAUUGUAAUUCAACAAGUCCUAUUAAAAGUAACAGUCAGACCUAUGACUUAUGCAAAUAAUGGAAUCAAAUAUGUAAAUGGAACAAGUGGGUGAAGGCAUAGUUGAGAAAGCUCUAAACAGCUUAGGAAAAGNNNNNNNNNNNNNNNNNNNNNNNNNNNNNNNNNNNNNNNNNNNNNNNNNNNNNNNNNNNNNNNNNNNNNNNNNNNNNNNNNNNNNNNNNNNNNNNNNNNNNNNNNNNNNNNNNNNNNNNNNNNNNNNNNNNNNNNNNNNNNNNNNNNNNNNNNNNNNNNNNNNNNNNNNNNNNNNNNNNNNNNNNNNNNNNNNNNNNNNNNNNNNNNNNNNNNNNNNNNNNNNNNNNNNNNNNNNNNNNNNNNNNNNNNNNNNNNNNNNNNNNNNNNNNNNNNNNNNNNNNNNNNNNNNNNNNNNNNNNNNNNNNNNNNNNNNNNNNNNNNNNNNNNNNNNNNNNNNNNNNNNNNNNNNNNNNNNNNNNNNNNNNNNNNNNNNNNNNNNNNNNNNNNNNNNNNNNNNNNNNNNNNNNNNNNNNNNNNNNNNNNNNNNNNNNNNNNNNNNNNNNNNNNNNNNNNNNNNNNNNNNNNNNNNNNNNNNNNNNNNNNNNNNNNNNNNNNNNNNNNNNNNNNNNNNNNNNNNNNNNNNNNNNNNNNNNNNNNNNNNNNNNNNNNNNNNNNNNNNNNNNNNNNNNNNNNNNNNNNNNNNNNNNNNNNNNNNNNNNNNNNNNNNNNNNNNNNNNNNNNNNNNNNNNNNNNNNNNNNNNNNNNNNNNNNNNNNNNNNNNNNNNNNNNNNNNNNNNNNNNNNNNNNNNNNNNNNNNNNNNNNNNNNNNNNNNNNNNNNNNNNNNNNNNNNNNNNNNNNNNNNNNNNNNNNNNNNNNNNNNNNNNNNNNNNNNNNNNNNNNNNNNNNNNNNNNNNNNNNNNNNNNNNNNNNNNNNNNNNNNNNNNNNNNNNNNNNNNNNNNNNNNNNNNNNNNNNNNNNNNNNNNNNNNNNNNNNNNNNNNNNNNNNNNNNNNNNNNNNNNNNNNNNNNNNNNNNNNNNNNNNNNNNNNNNNNNNNNNNNNNNNNNNNNNNNNNNNNNNNNNNNNNNNNNNNNNNNNNNNNNNNNNNNNNNNNNNNNNNNNNNNNNNNNNNNNNNNNNNNNNNNNNNNNNNNNNNNNNNNNNNNNNNNNNNNNNNNNNNNNNNNNNNNNNNNNNNNNNNNNNNNNNNNNNNNNNNNNNNNNNNNUUGUUGAGAUGGAAAAACGCUUUGUAAAAAGUGAUAAGGCUGAAACAAGUUCUUUGCUUCAGAAUUUAAUUUCCAUGAAGUAUCAAGGCAAGGGAAAUAUAAGAGAGCACAUUAUGAUGAUGUCCAACAUUGCUUCUAAGCUUAAAGGUCUAAAGCUUGAGUUGUCAGAUGACUUACUCAUUCAUUUAGUAUUGCUGUCUCUUCCUUCGCAAUUCAGUCAGUUUAAGGUGACUUAUAAUUGUCAAAAGGAGAAAUGGACUCUUAAUGAGCUCAUUUCAUUAUGUGUGCAAGAAGAGGACAGGCUGAAGCAAGAUAGGACUGAAAGUGCUCACUUUACUAGCAUCUCUAAAGACAAGGGCAAAAGGAAAAGAAUUGAGGAGCCCAAGAACAAAGCUGCUGCUAAGGGUCCAGAACAAAAGAAGCAGACUAAGGAUAACAACUGCUUCUUCUGCAGGAGUUCUGGACACGUGAAGAAGGAUUGUGCCAAAUAUCACGCUUGGCGUGUUAAGAAAGGUAUGAUUCUGUCUUUGGUCUGUUCUGAGGUUAAUUUAGCUUCAGUACCUAGAAACACUUGGUGGUUAGACUCUGGUGCAACUACUAACAUCAGUGUUUCAAUGCAGGGUUGCCUGAACUUCCGAAAGCCUAGUGAUACUGAAAGAUGGAUCUAUGUAGGAGAUGGGAAGAAGGUAGAAGUUGAAGCCAUAGGAAAAUUUAGAUUAUUAUUAAGUUCCGGUCAUUAUUUGGAUUUAAAAGACACUUUUGUUGUACCGUCAUUUAGACGGAAUUUGAUCUCUAUUUCUUAUUUGGACAAAUCAGGAUAUUAUUGUUCAUUCGGGAAUAAAGAAUUUACUUUGUCUUUAAAUUCGAAUGUUGUUGGAACCGGUUUACUUUCUGGUUAUGAUAAUCUUUAUUUGUUGGAAACUGUGGCUAACUAUAAUGAAACCUUGAAUGUGGAAUCACGUGGUACUAAGCGGAAAAUUGACAAUUUCAAUUCAGGGGUGCUUUGGCACAAGCGUCUAGGUCACAUCUCUAAAAAUAGAGUUGAACGACUUGUGUCAGAUGGAAUUUUAGAUUCCAUUGACUUCACAGACUUUAACGUUUGUGUAGCAUGCAUUAAAGGAAAACAGACUAAAGAUAAGAAAUUAGGCGCAUAUAGAGCUACAGACGUCUUAGAAUUGAUACAUACGGACAUCUGUGGGCCAUUUCCAACUCCUUCUUGGAAUGGUCAACAAUAUUUUAUAUCAUUCAUAGACGAUUAUUCUAGAUAUGCCUACCUUUACCUAAUUCACGAAAAGUCCCAAUCAAUAGACGUGUUCAAAUCCUUUAAGGCAGAAGUUGAGAAUCAACUUAAUAAAAGAAUUAAAAAGGUCAAAUCUGAUCGUGGUGGUGAAUACUACGGCAGAUAUGACGGUUCAGGUGAACAACGUCCGGGACCAUUUGCCAAAUACCUAGAGGAAUGUGGAAUCGUCCCACAAUACACUAUGCCGGGGUCACCCAGCAUGAAUGGUGUAGCUGAAAGACGAAACAGGACUCUUAAGGAUAUGGUAAGGAGUAUGAUUUGUCAUUCCACCUUGCCAGAGUCACUCUGGGGAGAGGCAUUAAAAACAGCAGCAUACAUUCUUAAUAGAGUACCAACUAAGGCAGCGGCUAAAACACCUUAUGAGCUUUGGAUUGGGCGUAAGCCUAGUCUGAAGCACCUUCAUGUUUGGGGAUGUCCAGCUGAGGCAAGGCCUUAUAGGCCGAAUGAAAAGAAAUUUGAACCCCGAACAAUUAGCAGCUAUUUUAUAGGGUACUCAGAAAAAUCAAGGGGCUAUAAAUUUUAUGAUCCUAAUUUGAGAACAAUUUUUGAGACGGGAACGGCAACGUUCUUUGAGGAUAUUGAGUUUGGGGGGAAGAUUAAGGUUAAAGAUUUUGUCUUUGAGGAAGAAUCGGUAACAAUUCCAGAACUGAUUCUUCCACCAAUUGACUUUCCCAUUAUUGAACAAACUCAAGAUGAUCUGGUUGUUCAGGAAGAACAAAAUCCAGAUCAAAUUCAAGAUCCUCAAGAACAAGUGCCUCAAGAGCCAGCUCCAUUGCGGAGAUCCACUAGAGAAAGGAAAAAUGCUAUUUCGGAUGAUUAUGUAGUAUUUAUCAAUGAGGUAGAGGAAAAUGUUGGCAUGACGGAAGACGACCCAGUCAACUUUCAUCAAGCCAUGCAAGAUUCUCGUUCAGAUAAGUGGAUCGAAGCAAUGAAUGAGGAGUACAAGUCUAUGCAAGACAAUUCAGUUUGGGAACUUAUCCCAUUACCUGAAGGAAAGAAACCCAUUGGUUGCAAAUGGAUUUUUAAAACCAAGCGGGAUUCCAAUGGUAAUGUGGAGAGAUAUAAGGCACGUCUUGUAGCUAAGGGUUAUACUCAAAAGGAAGGGAUUGAUUAUAAAGAGACUUUCUCUCCGGUUUCAUCGAAGGACUCUUUAAGAAUAAUCAUGGCUCUUGUUGCUCACUUUAAUUUGGAGCUUCAUCAAAUGGAUGUAAAAACAGCUUUUCUCAAUGGCGACAUUGAUGAGACGAUCUAUAUGGUGCAGCCAGAAAACUUUGUGUUGGGAGACCCAAAGAAUAUGGUGUGCAAACUAAGAAAAUCCAUUUAUGGGCUAAAACAAGCUUCUCGUCAAUGGUACCAUAAAUUUCAUCAAGUAAUUCUCUCAUUUGGUUUUGAGAUGAAUACAGUUGAUGAUUGUGUGUAUCAUAAGUUCAGUGGGAGCAGACAUAUUUUCCUGGUCUUGUAUGUUGAUGACAUACUGCUUGCCACUAACGAUAUAGGCAUGUUGCACGAAACUAAGAAAUUUCUAUCAAAGCAUUUUGAGAUGAAAGAUCUUGGUGACGCCUCUUUUGUAUUAGGAAUUCAGAUACACCGAGACAGAUCUCGAGGUAUUCUUGGAUUGUCACAAAAGAGCUAUAUCGAUAAGGUUCUCAAAAGGUUUGGGUUACAGGAUUGCAAACCAGGGGACACCCCAGUUGCUAAGGGAGACAAGUUUAGUCUCAAACAGUGCCCUAAGGGAAGUUUGGAAAUUCAAGAAAUGCAAAAGAUCCCUUAUGCUUCAGCUGUAGGGAGUCUUAUGUAUGCCCAAGUAUGUACGCGUCCAGACAUAGCGUUCAUAGUAGGGAUUUUAGGCAGAUAUUUAAGCAAUCCAGGUCUUGACCAUUGGAAAGCAGCCAAGAGGGUCAUGAGAUAUUUGAAGAGAACAAGAAACUACAUGCUCACAUAUAGGAGGUCAGACCAGUUAGAGAUCACUGGGUACUCUGACUCGGAUUUUGCGGGAUGCCAAGACAGCUUAAGAUCAACUUCAGGCUAUGUCUUUCUGUUAGCUGGUGGAGCAGUUUCUUGGCGUAGUGCCAAGCAAGGUCUUACUGCCUCAUCAACUAUGGCAGCAGAGUUCGUAGCAAUCCAUGAGGCAUCUGACCAGGGCAUUUGGCUGAGAAAUUUUGUCACGGGGCUGCAAAUAGUUGAAGGGAUUGAAAGACCACUCAAGUUGUAUUGUGACAAUAGAUCAGCAGUCCUGUAUUCUAACAAUAAUAGGAGCUCAACCAAGUCAAAGCACAUUGACAUUAAGUUCCUAGUUGUUAAAGAGAAGGUACAAAGUGGACAGAUAUCCAUAGAACACUUAAGGACAAACUCCAUGAUUGCGGAUCCACUCACUAAAGGUCUACCACCCAAGGUCUUUCAUGAGCAUACUGCUCACAUGGGUGUGCUACAGUUUGAGGAAUCUUGAUUUUAGUGGGAGUUUCGUCCAUUAUGUAAUUCAUGUUCUAUGUUUAAUUGUAAAGUACAAAUACAUUGUAUUUGGACUUUCUGAUCAGAAAUAAAGUUUAAAGUAUUCAGUUUUUGGUUACUUUGUACAUUUAAGUUAUGGUAUGAUCUCAUUCGAUAAAGUAGGACCAGUUGAAAAUUGACAUGCAUUGACCAACUUCAUGUAAUUUUCAUGCUACACUUUUCAUAAUGGGUCUAUGUCAUUUAGUUGUGUCAGUACGGGUGAUCAUUGAUGGGUUUAGUUAUGCUUAUUAUGACGAAAGCCUCUUUGGUUCCAUGUGCUGAUAUGAUUAAUGGACGGGACAAUUUGGAUUAUACUCAAGGUAAUUAUAAUGACAUUUUUUGACGUCAUAAAGUCUAACACACUCCUAAGGAUACAUGUGUGACCAGUGGGAGAUUGUAAGAUUUAUGGGUCACAUAUGUAAUUAAUUAAUAAAGUGUGUUAGGGUCAUUAUAUAAUUAGCCAAUAAACUAGGGGUCAAAUAAUAUAUAAUAGUUUAUGGCUAAAGAGCAUAAUGGUUAUGAAAAUUAAUAGUGUAGAUACCAGGCAGUUUCUAAUUUAAUGAGGGGCUGAAUUGGAAAUACUGCAAUUUGGGAUAUAACUAAUAAUAGUUAUAUAUAGGGGUAAUGGUCCCCAAGGCAAACACAACAAGACUAUUCAGUUUCAAAACCCUAAAGGAGAAAAUUCUCUGGUUCUCUCUAUCCCCAUCAAGAGAGCAAGGUCUUCAGGGUGUUUUGCUGAGGAAGAUCACUCAACCCAUUGGCUCUAUCAUCAUCAUCCCAAGAUUUUAUCAAUGGCAAUUCCCACAGGUACGCUUCCGCCCUUGGUUAUUCAUCAUGUAAUUGGCAUGGAUAGUUAACAAUAGAGCUAUGAAAGGUAAGUUUUAAAAGAUUUCUUUUUUGUUUGUCAAAAAAAUAAAAAAUCUUCCUACUAAACACGCUGAGCAUCUACAACGGUGAAUUCAAUAUGGGUUCUUUAGAUGGGGUCCACUGUACCACAUCAUCCUGAAGCAAUUCACUCAUUUUCUACUCCAUCGGUGAACUCAACAUGAGUUCGUAGCAUCUACAACGGGAGUGAAAAUGAGUUCGUAGCAUCUACAACGGGAGUGAAAAUGAGUUCGUCCGUCAUCGUGUAAUUACUUAACUUCUAGUUUUUUGUGGGUUCAUCCUUGGAGUUGUACCAAGGUGUCAUCUCGGUACUGUCAGGAAGUAACGUGCUUCAUAGCAGUUACCUUUUUUUUCUACCUUUUAUUAAUUUAUUAAUAAUAAUAAAUUUAUCAUUUUUUAUUAAUUUAUAGCCGUUAACUUCUUUUUAAUUUAUUAAAUAAUAAUAAUUUUGUAACCAUUAGCUUUUUUGUAGUUAAUAUAUAACCGUUAGCCUUUUUUUUCCCUUUAAUUACGAUUGUUAGCUCAUUAAUAGAAACAAUUUGUUAUUCAUGCUUUUUCUUCACAAUUUUUGUUAUAGAAGUUUGUUAAUUUUAAAUUUUUUAUUUAAAUUUUAAAUUAAAAUUUUAUUUUAAUUUUAAAUUAAAAUUUUAUUUUAAUUUUAAAUUAAAAUAAUGUAUAAUAAUAUUAAUUAGAAUAUUUAAAUUAAUAUUUUAAGUUAUAAUUUUAAACUGAAUGAGUUGAUUUAGGGUGAUGUGGCAUAGUAGAACUUGAAUCAUGUUGAGUUCACCGUGGGAGUAGAAAAUGAAUGAAUUGCUUCAACAUCAUGUGAUACAGUGGACCCCAUCUAAAUAACUCAUAUUGAGUUCACUGUUGUAGAUGCUCUAGAGCAUGCAACCGAACAGUUUUCAUUUUGUGUGCUUGUUGCUGUUUUUGUUGUUCUUGCUUUUGGUUGAGUUUUUGUUUUACCUAUUUGAAUUUUUCAUUUGCCUUUUUGUGUUGAAGUUCGUUCUUGAAGUACCUAGUUUUCCCUUUCCCUAAUUACUUCGAGUUUUUUUAUUCACCGAUUUUUAUAUAAUAUUGUUGCAUUGUUGUUUUUUUAGUCUUGCUAAAAAGUAUAGGGAACUCAUUGACGUAAUAAAAAUGAAAAUUUUACUUUGAAAACAAAUUAUUUUAAAUUUUUAAAAAGUUGAAAACAUAACUUUUAAAAACAUCUUAAUUUAAAUAUUUCUAUUUUUAUUUUCUUUAACAAACACAUUUUAUGCUCUCGUUAACACUUGCCAUUUUUUACAUGGUUUUCUAAUUUAUAAUUUAUUCUUAUAUAUCUUUUUUGUUGUUGAGUAAUUACGAGAUUUAAUUUUGGUACAUAACAUUUAUUUUCCUUUUAUACACAAAUAUAACAAUACAAUUUUUUUCUAUCUAAAGAUACCAAGUUGAUUGGAAAAACACUGUUAUUUAAAAAACAACGGUUGUUUAAACCUUAUAAGAAAUCAAGGCAAUAGAAGUAAGUUGUUUUUAUUUAUCAUUGUUUAAUUUUAAUUUAUAUAGUUUAUAAUAAAUUUUAAUAUAUUUUUAAUGUUCUCUAUUCUUAUAUUAUAGUAGAUUAUUUAUGUUUUUUCUCUUUACAAAACCGAACAAAGUUCAUUCAAUAUUUUGUAUAUUUGUCCCAUAAUUAUUUAUAUUUAUCGUUGACAAAUUGUGUCCUCUUUUAUUAUGCCCCAAUUGAAAUUUGUAUUGUCACACAGGUAGCGUGUUACUGGUAUUUCAUAUGUGUCUCGUUCGAACAUCAAACAAAAAUAUAAUUUUAUAUAUUAGUGAUAAAUAUUUAUCUCAUAUUUGUUAUAUUUAUUAAUGACAAGUAUUUAUUUUGUGUUUUUAUACGUACCAAUUGAAAAAAAUGUAUUUCAUACUUUUUGAAUCUUGAUAUAUCUCUAUUGUUAAUAAUUUUGUAAAUUAAUUUGAAAAUAACAAAAUACAUUUAAUGACUAUGUUGACCAACUAAAGACACGUUAAAAGAAUAAAAUGACUAACAAAUUAAAAAAUAUAAUUAAUAUGUUUUAUUUUUAAAGAUUAUUGUGACAAAGUUUUACAUAUUUAGAGGGUAAAAUGAUUGUUUAUUUUGAUGAAAGGUCAAGUUCUUCUUUAUCUUUUAUCUAUGGCUUUAUGCUAUUUUCUCUUCCAAGCAGAGCAACUCACUAAAUGCAGAAAAUAAUAUAAAAGCCUGGUUGUUUUGUUAUUUUGUACAUCAUCCCAAUUCCUCUUUCUUCCUUCAAUUUUUUUGUGAGUUUUUGCCUUGUCAUGUUGCAGCUUGGAGUUUUUGUUCUAACCAUAAUAGAUUAUGGCAUUCUCACUGUAAAUAUCAAAUGAAUAAGUUGUUUUAACUUGUUUUAAAAUGAUGGGCACACGUAAGACACUUAUGAUGAGUUGCACCAAGUUGCUGUAAUGCUUAAGUUAAAUAAUUGGUCUUAAUUUCUCUUCACUUCAUUCUAGCAACAUUCUGAGCCUUCUUCUUUCUCCUCUUUUUUGUUUUUUGAAACAAAGGUAUAAGAAAAGAAAGAACAUUUCAUCUUGAUAUAACUUUUUUCGGAUUUUCAAAAUCCAUGCAAUCAUCUCAUUUGAAAUUAUGAAGUUAUUUCUUUGUUAUCUUUUGGCCUUGGUCAUGCUAUGUGUUAAUUAGUAAUAAACAAAAAGUUUUAGCUUGUGGAUCAAAGGAGCUAUCUUGGAACAUAAUAACUUACUAUUUUAGUUUUGGUGAGCUUGAAUAGAGACAUUGAAUUGUAAGUUGAAUCUAUUUUGAAACCUGGAUACAUCAUCAAUUUUAAGUUAAAACAAGUGACAUAAUAACAAAAAAAACUUAGGUUAAUAUUUGAUACUGGAUUUUUUACCCAUAUAUCCCACUUUUCAGAAAACUUCACUAAAAUGCUCUAUUUUCAAAAACUGUUACCAAAAUGCCCUACUUUUUAGGGGAACCAAGAAAACUCUCCUUGGGGGAGCGACACCUCAAAGAGCAAAUUUUUUUCCCCUAGUAGGAGGUCGCUGGCCGGAGAUGCGACCUCCCAAAGGGU
rnacentral:lncRNA from 1 species